rnacentral:lncRNA from 1 species
CACACACACACACACACACACACACACACACACACACACACAAAAACUAAGUUAAUUAAGAGCUAGAACACAAAAAGGAUGAGUUAGAGUGAGCGAUGAGACUCUUUUAUAUAUGUAUAAGAUCGCAAAGAAAGAGAGGAAGAAACCGCGAGAACGGUGUCGCAAAAGUUGCAGUGGACGUAGCAAAGCUGCUCGGAAGGGGGAGGCGAGAGGUGGUCCAGAGAAAAGGCGGCGGAGGAGGAUGACAUGAUUUGAUUUAUUGGAUCUCCUGCAGCAGCUGCUUCUUUGAUUUGAUUUGAUUGCCCAACCAACCAACCAACAAACCAACCGACCGACCGACCGACCCAAGCCAAGGGGGGAUCUUUCUCUCCUUUCUGGGCUCCCUUUUCUUCUUUUUUUUUGUGGGGGUGUUUUUUUGGUUUGGUUGUUGUUGCUGUUGUUGUUGUUGUUGUUGUUGUUGUUGAUGUGAUGAGUUUGAUUUGAUGCCUUUGAUUUGAUGCUUUGAUUGACUCGAUCUGAUUCAGUGGAGCCUCGGAUCUGUUGUUCUUUGGUUUGAGAAACGAAAAUAAAAAGGAAAUAAUAGGUAGAGAGAGAGAGAGAGAGAGAGAGAGACAGAGAGAGAAUGGAAAGAGGAGAGGAGAGGNAGAGAGAGAGAGAGAGAGAGAGAGAGAGAGAGAGAGAGAGAGAAUGGAAAGAGGAGAGGAGAGGAGAGAGAGGGAGAAAGGAAAGGGGGGAAAGAGAGAAGAGCAAAUUAAGAGAAGAUACCUGCUGAGAAAAUGGUGAGAUUGAGAAAGAUAUAGGGCAGGUCCAAAGCCUCUCUUUCUCUCUCUUUCUCUCUCUCUCUCUCUCUACAAAGCACGGGCAGCUACCACCGCUAGCUAUCGCAGAAAUGUAUUAAUUAAAGAAUAUUUUCAAUAUUUUUUAAAUGGAAAAGUAUGUGGGAGAAUGAGUGAUCUGAUCAAACAGUCUUUUUAAUAUUAAAAAGUUUGGUCAGAAUUUUCUAAUGUUUCUAGUAUUAACUCAUGGCUUUCCUGUAUUUAAAGCGAAAUACACUAUUUUUUUAGGCUUUCUACAGUGAAUGUAUAAGAUUGCGCUUUAUGUAAUUAAUAUCUUUUAAAUUGUGAUAACGAUUGAUAGUCCUCUACGCUUAGAGUUAAUAUUUGAUUCGUGGAUCAUUUCAAAGUUUACAUUGUGCAAAUGAAAUUCUUUUAUUUAGUUGCAUUCUAGUAUUCCUUGAAAUGGAUUUUUGUAUACAUGUUCCAACAUGAAAAUAUUUUAGUCAGCCAGUAAGAUUAAUCUUAGCGUCACAGGAUUAUAGUGGUUGCAGUGGCUACAAAUUACUUCAAUAAUUGUGGCGAUCAAGCAUAUUAUAAAUGGUGGCUGAAAAUGAUAGUGAUAAUAGCGAUGGUAAUGAAAGUAGCACGAAGAGAGCGUGGGAGAGCUAGGGGAUGCAGCAUCAAUAGCAUAAUAUCAGUUCAGUGGCAAAAUUUACAGCGAUGACAACUGGUAGCACAACAGUGACAAUCAGGGACAAAACUAGCACUCGAUUAUAAGGGGAGCUAAAAUACAAACAAAUCAAAAUUUUAGCAAAUAAACAAGAUUUACCUAGUCAAAUUUUUGAUAAAAAAAUAUAUCUACUAAAUAAUUAGUGUAAAAAAGCAUUACCCUUUUUUUAUUUAUACUUACUUAACUUCUAAUUAUUUUAUUUAGAUUAUUUCACUCAAAUAGCUUUAAAAUUUAUUAAAUCUAAUAGUAAUUCAGUAAAUGACUUAAUUUUUUAAUUUUUACUAAAUGUAAUUGUGACAAUAAAUGACUAUUAGUUAACAGAGCUAUUAACUUUAAUAUAACCUUUAAUUUAAUUACUAAAUGAAAAAAAAAAAAACUCAGAGUUUAGAGAGCACUAUAUUAGCCCUAAAAACUUUUCAAAAAAACAGAUUACUCAUCAUACUUUUAAAAAAUAUAUAUUUUUUUAAAAUUUUUAUAUAUAAAGGACUUUUAUGCAAAUUAUGAAAAUUUGGGGUGGAGGGGGGCCAUGGCCCCCUCAGCCCAACAUAGCUCCGCUCCGCCCCUGAUCACAAAGACAUUAAUUGAUAAUGGUGAUACUGAUAGCAACAUCAGUGGUCUCAAAUUGAGUUCCAAAUUAGGAUGAUAGUUAUUGUAGCAAUGACAAUGGAGGCAACGCCGAAGGAGGUGUUGGCGUCGAAAAUGUUUGGAAGCAAUUAAUGGUGGUGGCGAUGGCAAAAUUAGUCGUAUAUAGUAGUGACAACAAUGGUCAACGACAAUGUUUAGCCAUCGGUAAUACCGAUAGAAAAGCUGAUAGUCACAACGACGGUGGCGGGGGCAAUUGUGGUUGCGGCAACGGUGCUACAAGUGGUGAUCUGCCUGUGUAGCAAUAGUAGCAGAUGAGCUCCUGAUAGUUAUAAGCGUAUAACAGUAGAAUAGUAUUCCUCGGUCUUAAUAUUGCUAAUGUCAUUAGUAAAUGGAGAAAUGAAUUUUUCUUUACUUUGUUUCAUGCAUAUUAUAAGAGAUUGCGGGAAAAUACUCAAUUCCCACUAUGCCAAGUAUGUGCAUUUGUGAUUCCUAAUUCUAUACAGAAGAUUGAUCGAUUUGAUAGGACCUACCCUAGAAUUGCGUUAAUGCCUCGUUUGAUAAAUGUGUAAAGAGAACAAUUAAUCUUUAGUAACAUUUUUGCAUAGGUGUGUUAAAAAAAGAAAAAGGAAAAAAGAGUUUGCACAUUUGUAGUCUACCAUCUAAUUCUAAAGAAGUGAAAAUAAGAAAAAAAAAUCAUAUGAACAAUAUGUUAAUUCAAUUAAGCACCCUUUCCCAAUUUUCAUUAGUUUUCCUCAAUAAUUGAAUGUUAUAUAGAAAUCAAAUGACAAAAAUAUCUCUAAACUCAUCCUAGCAGCAAGAAAUAGAGGGGUACACCCAGGUGAUAGUAUUGAAGAUUGCAAAUACGAGAUAGUUAAAUAAAUUAUAAAGAUAGGUUUUGUGUUUUUUCCCCCUUUGAUUUUUUAGUGUUUAGAUGGAAAUUAAUCUUCUAUUAGUGUCGAUGUUCUAAUUGAUCUAACAUACUUCUUCUCUUAAUAAAUAUAUUAUUUUAAAGAGAAACAUACUGAUGAUGAAAUUAUAUUAUAAAUCACUAACAAUUAUCUAUAAUUUAUGUAAAUGAUUGUGAAAUAUCCAAACAAAUAAUAUAUUCAAUUCUGAAAACCUUUUUCUUUCUUUCAUGUAUAUAUUCUGCGAAAUCCAUGCUUGUACUGUUCUGCUUCUGACCUUCCCUUAUCUAUGCUAUAUAUAUCAUGAAUUUGAUGAUUCCAGUGUUUAUGAUUAGGAUAAUCUGAUCAUAAUGAACUAAAUACUAAUAUAUGCAAUUGCAAUAUUUAUAUAUGUAUGUAUGGAAAUAGAUAAUUUUGCAUGGUAUAUAUGCAAAAGAAUUAAAUUUAAGAAUUCAAUUUGUUAUGACAGAAUUUAUGACAAAAUUGGAAAUGAUCUAAUUCGUCGAACAUGAAAAUACCAAAAGAGAAUCGAGAAAGAGAGCAGAAAAAUAAAAUACGUAAAUAUUAACGUGGUUUGACCAUUGACCUACAUCCACGAAUAAAUUAAGAUGGAGUAGAGAUCUUCAUUAUAAUCAAAUUAAGAUGGUUUGUUUAAUUGCGGUUCCAGAAUGUGAGACAUAUCUAACACAAUUGGAUAUAUGACAUUCUUCGUCACUGAAUAUUUUCAGAGGAAGUUUAGCUUGGAUCACUGAACCUUCUUUUGUUAUUUUAUUUUUCAAGAACAAACUUGAAUUUGUUAUGAAUGAGUUAUUAAACUUCAUUGUAUGUUCCAUGCAUUAAUAUUAAUGAAGCCAACUCUUUCUAACUAUUUAAUUGUAAUAACUUGACGGCUAAUCAGAUGCCACUUCAUCAACAACAGAUGACAACUUGAUGAUGUAGUUGAUUCAGUAGUCACUUCAUCUCCAAAAGAUGACUUUUUAAAGUGGCGUUUCAAAGAGAUCAUUUACUGAUGAUCCUUUUUUUUUUCUUUUUUUUUUCUUUUUUUUUUUUUCUGGUGAGGUGUUACGACAAACGCACAAACGGAAACGAAAUGACGAACACAAAAAAAAACAAUCAAACCACAAGCAGAAAAAUAAAGAGACACAGAUUUAUGUGGAAAACCCUUUGCAGGGAAAAACCACGGGCGAGGGAGGAGAGAACUUCACUAUGGAACGAAAAGAGAGUACAAUCUUCUUCAGGUUACAACCAACCACGAUCACACGCCUGUUGGCCCGAGCCCUCCGCUACCCACCACAGACAUUCAUUUUUCCUCCAUAAUUUUCUUUUCCAAAUUGGUCGCACCGCGAAGCUGUCGGAGAGUCGUAAACCCGAACCUGAAUCGAUAGUAGAUUUCGAGUCACAUCUAACAUGAGGAAAGAUGAUCUAGUUUGCUAUUGAGUCAGUUGUGGCAUCACCUUGAAUAAAUGGUUGGCAACUGCUAGUCGCAAUAAGAAUGCCAACAUCAUCUUCAACUGAUGGCAUGACAAUUAAAUCAAAUGCUAUAUAUAUAUAUAUGUUCUUUCCUCCUCAAGCAAAUUAAACAAAAUUUUGAUCCAUUAAUUGCAUUGAAACUGACAUUAAAGUUGUUCGACGAAUAUAAAGCUUCACAAUUAGUUUAGCAACUUAUAAUCCAAUUCCCCUUUCCAAUUCACUGAUGUAGAUGUGUAAGUUGGUGUUAUAUAAAUGCCUAAAAGCUCUUUAAUGUAAGAGCAAUGUUAGCCCUAUAACCAAAAGUUCAUUGUAAUCUUACUACUCUAUCAUACGAUAAUUCAUAUUUCUCUGUUAGUCCUAUCAUCGUCCUUCUUUUAUCACUAAAAUCCAAGAAUUAAUAAUUUUUAUAACCUUGAAGGAAAGAUUACAACCCUCCUCAGAUGAACAGUUAAAUCCUACUACUCUUUUAGGGUUUGUAAUAUUUCGGAAAUGUUAUAUAUUGUUAAGUAAUAAAGUGCUAACGAUUUCUAUCAAGCAUGAAAAUGAAAAUACCCCUUAAGGUACCCAUAAUAAUUUAGUAUUCCUAACAGUUAGGAAUUUUCAAUGGUUCUACUAUUUCAUUACCACUUUUUACACUUGUCCUACUUGAGUUGAACAAAAGUGAUAAUUUGAAAGCGUAUACGAAUAAUACAAAUUAACAAUGAACUAAAUGGGCCCUUAAUUAUUGUAAUUACACUUACUAAAUGUAUGAGCUAUGCUGACCCAGUAGAGCUAUAGUACGGCUAGUGCUCGGGAUACCUGGUGGCACUGGCUGGUGAUUUAAUAGUGGGUACAGGUGAUUUAGUAACAAAGCAACAGGGCCUGCUUUUUAUACUUACGAGCCUACAUAAAACGACACAAACAUAAUAUAUAUAUAUAUAUAUAUAUAUAUAUUAACUGAUCUUAACUCUUAUCUACAACACACCACCUGGGGGGGUUUGCUAAAGGGGUACUGGGUUAUAAUUAGAUGGACCGCGCAUGCAUGCACGGCCCCAGCAGUGAGCAGACCAGGUCCAGGGUGGUGGUGAUUCGAAGCGAGCGAGCUCCACCGGAUGGGGUCGGAUUUUGGGUCCGUGGGAUUGGUCGGAUAAGGACUAUCUGAAACCACGUCGUUUUCCUCAAACCCCCGCCCUUCCAACGUGUGGACGUGAUCUUUUUGUGUCGUGACCGUUUUACCAAAACGGACGGUGACAACGACACCCUUAAUUCAUUCCCACCCUCAUUGCAUGCGCCCUGUUUAUUAUAUACGCGCUCCAACUCUAAAACUUUAUAAGUAUGAGCUCCCUUAUACUCAUAAGUUUUUGACCCUUAGAUUUAUUCCAUAAUCAUUUCCACCUGUUAGAUCAUAUUAUUCAACCAACUACCCACUCAACACUAGGGGACCACUAUCAUUCUAAGUGGGGACCACCAUCAUCCUAACCACAUAACCCAUCAAUCAACGGUUAAAAAUUUAUGAGUACAAGAAGUUCUAUACUCAUAAGAGUAUAGUAGCCCCAGCCUCUAUAUAUAUAUAUAUAUAUAUAUAUAUAUAUAUGCACUCCAACUCUAAAAGCUUUGUAGUUGAUACCCGAGAUUAAUAUUUUCAGCUAAGUUUAUUUUUUUAAAAAAAAUGAACGAAACGAAUAACAUGCCACCUUUCUCUCAAAACAAAAAAAAUCUAAAACUUUUUCACGAGAGAAAUGCCAAGUAAUCUAAGGGUUUUAGGGUUUACUAACCUCUUUUUGAUUUUCUUUUUUUUUUUACUGGGAAAAAAAAAGCGAGUAUUAAUAGGAGUUGUAAAGAAAAAGUGAACUUUGAAUGGGGUGGUGGUAGGAAUUACAGCCCAUUUUGGACUGUAGAUCUAGCAACGUGUUUGUCAUUAAAUAUUCACAUUGGAAGUUAUAAGUUUUGAAUAUCUAUUUCUUAUAAUUAAUAUAUACUAUUUUUGGCAUGAGAGCAGGGUCGCAUUAAUAAUUAAUACACGGAUUAUAGGCUAUUUAAAUAUUACAGAUCAUAUUUAUCAAAUUAAAUUUUGACUUUUAAAAUAUCGAUCAUCAAAUAUUUGUGACAAAGGAUUAAUCUAGCAGGAACUCACAUGUUUAAUGAUAAUUAUGUGAAGCAUGUCAUAUGUAUUGCCAGAAAAAAAAAAAAAAAAAAAAAAAAAAAAAAAAAAAAAANNNNNNNNNNNNNNNNNNNNNNNNNNNNNNNNNNNNNNNNNNNNNNNNNNNNNNNNNNNNNNNNNNNNNNNNNNNNNNNNNNNNNNNNNNNNNNNNNNNNNNNNNNNNNNNNNNNNNNNNNNNNNNNNNNNNNNNNNNNNNCACUACAACAAAAACGGUCUAUAGCGACACUUUUAAAUGUAGGUACAUGUCAAAAAAGUGCUGCUAGCUAAAAUUACCGACACUUUUAAAAAGUGUUGCUAUAUGUGGGGUCGCUAGGUAUAUAGUGACAGUUAAAGAGUGUCGCUAUAACCUAAAAGAGUACUGCUAAUUUACCAACACUUAUUUAAGCAUUUAGUAACCGCUGAAACUCUAUCUCGUUGGCUGCGGUGGCAGAGGAGGACGACAGGAAAGGCUCUUCGUCUAGAAUUUCAGUGGAUUGAGUGAAGAGAGAAGAAAAGAUGGUAAUUGAUUUUUCUUUUUUUUUCUUUUCUGUUUGUAAUCGGGUCAAAUGGACUGGGUGUGGUGAGUUGAGUAGAGUAAUUUUUUAUUUUUGGUUGGAUUGUGCUUUAUAUUUAGGCAUAAGUAGAUGUUUUUUUAAGUUUUAGUAUAAAUGGGACACUUACUCAAAAGUGUCCCAAACAUGUGUCCCUAUAAACUAAUUCUGUUGUAGUGUAGAUCGAACUGGGAUAGUUUAAUUAGGACUUGCUUUGAUACCAUUUAAGUGAAAGUUAAGAUCCAUCUACGAGCAACUGAUCUAGGUGUAGUUUUUAAAAAUGGCGUGGCCGAUCGCAUCUAUAACAUUAUUGCCUAAAUGCUUGAUGGUUGGUAUCUGGGUCUAAAAUUUGAUGUUUAGUUAUUUCAUAUUUCUAACUGAGUUCAUUUAUAAAAAAAAAAUUAGUGAAGCAGACGGCUUACUAUCUUUUUUUUCAAAAAAAAAAGAAAAGAAUACAAUAUAAAUUAAGUGGGGUGCAUGAGAUGUUUGGAUACACUGGAUACACCUGAUGCAAGCAAUAGUUUCUCAUCCCAUGUGUUUCCCUUCGGUGAUGAACUCCCACACAGUAAAAGAUCACCAAGUUGGGAUCGAUCAGGAGCUCUAUAGCUAACUAGCGUGUGGUCGAUAUUCCCGAGAGAGAGAGAGAGAGAGAGAGAGAGAGAGAGAGAGAGAGAGAGAGAGAGGAGGGCUCAGAGGCGGCAGAGGUGGGGGAGAGGAGCAAGAAAGGGACGUGUGCAUGGGCCUCUUAGCUUUCCCUUUCUCACCCGUUGUUUUCGUAGUAAUGAGCGAGGGAAAAAAGGGGGGGGGGGUUGUGUGUGUGUUUGAGUUCAAGUGUUUAGACCCCUACAAUUCUUUUCUUUUUUUCUUUUUUUCUUUUUUUUUAAUAUUUCUCUCGUUUCUCGGAUCCCCUCUUUAGACUCUUUGAAGAAGUAGAGCCCAGAGUAGCUGCAGUAUAUCUGCGUAGAUCGUCGCAGUAGUUCUCUAGCGUCGAGGGUGUAAUCGCAGAGAGCUUACUUUUAGCCUCUCCAAGCCCCCGCCUCCGCCUCCUUAGGAUGGUUUGGAUAUUGGUAUUUUGUACACAGAGGAGAUAGAUACCUUUGUCCAAAGGUACAAAGAUCAAAGUGAAUGAAACCUGUUAAAAAUAAUAAUAAUAUAUAAUAAGAGAAUGUGAAACAAUAAAUUAUAGCAUGCACCUGAUGUAUAUCCAUACAUCAUUUACUAUAGGUAUAAAGCUUACGCUCUAGGAUAUUUGUGAUUCAUAUUUUUUUCUUUGUCUUGUCAAUAUUUUGUUUAAUCUAUGCGAAAAAAGGAUUUAACAAUCCUUGAAUGUAGAGAUGUAAGAUUUAUAUCCUUAGAACGGUGGUAUAUGUUUCUAAGAAUAUUUCACAGAAAUAUUAAAAUUAAUCAAAAGUACAUAAUUCAUGAAAUAUUUUUACAGUAUAUAAAAGGCCUACUUAUCAAAUUAUUAUAUUAGUUUUGGACACAGAUUUUCUGAUAAAUCAAAUAAUAUUUCUUUCCAUGCAUGUUAUUGAUUUGUGACUAUACGUUACUUUAUAUGUACAGAAAUAGAUUUUCAGAACUCGUGGUUUUGUUUGCAUAUAAAUAUUUCGUUCGGCGCAUUUCUAUCUUUUUUUUAAAAUUUAAGAAGCCUAUAGCAUUUGAUAGAGACUAACCAAAUGUUUAGAAAGACAUAAUUAACGCACUUGGUCUUCAAGUCAUUUUUUUAGAAUAAUAUAAAUAAUUUCAUAGGUAUAAUGUACUGGAUCAUAAAUGUUAAGACAUUUUAAAGAGUGAAAAGUAAACUUCUAAAUUACAAUCACAAGCUAAAAAGUUUAAAUAUGAAUCACUCAAUAAUGGACAUGAUGUAUGAGGCGUACAAGUAAUAUUUGCUUACCCGCAGCUAAUUUUUCAUGUCAAAAUAAUGUUCAUUAAACUAAAAUUUAGGUGAAUAUUAAUUUCCACUGCUUUUAUAAGAUAGAAAAGUUACCACUGAUUUUCGAACUAUAGUUAUUUUAUUUCUUAUUUAUUUUACCAAAUAUUUUCACGCUAACACAUAAAAUGAUGACAAAAUUAAAGUUAAGCGUAAAGUUAGUUUUUUAAAAUAUUUUUGUCUCUUUCUUUUUCAUGAUUAACUUUUCUUCCAUCCAAUGCAAAUUAAAGCCAAUUACAGUGUUCUGAAAAAGCAGAGCUACAAAAAAAAUAGUAAAAGAAUUAAAUAUUUACAGUAAAAAAAAAAAAAAACUCCGUCAUUCUUUUAUUUUUUGGUGAAAUAAGCAUGCCCUAGGCGCAGGCAAUAAAUUUUUUUUUUUUGAGAGAUAAGUAGCACGCUAUCUGCUUCGUUUAUUUUAUUUAGAAAUAAAUUUAGCUAGAAAUGUAAAUUAAUUAGAAUUCGAACUUAAAUUUUGGGUAUGAACUAUUAAGUCCUUUGUCGCUUGCUCUAGGAACAGUCGGUAGGCGCAGGCAAUAGUUUGAGAGAGAAAUUGUAGGCAAUAGUUUAGAGGGAGAGGGAGCUAAUAAAAAGAAGAGAAAAUUACAAAGCUUUUCACUUUUGAUGAUUUGACAGCACACGACCCCUCCUCACUCAGUAACAAAAGAGCAGCAGCAGCAGAAGACAGAGAUCCUCCACUCUCUCUCUCUCUCUCUCUCUCUCUCUCUCUCUCUCUUCAUUACAACCCUUGUCCUCUUCUCAAAUUCCCCCCCCCUUAUCUUUCUCUCACCAUAAAAAUAAAUAUUAAAACCUUCACACUAUCUUAGCAUUUAAAAACAAAUGGCUUUAUCUGUUUCUUUGUUAGCUUUUAGUUUGGAUUGGGGUGGCUCCUCAUUCUCCUCCACACAUUCCGAGGGGUGGGGAUUAGGGUUAGGAUUGUGGGAUCCAACCAUAAAUCUCUCUCUCUCUCUCUCUCUCUCUCUCUCUCUCUCUCUCUCUCUCUCUCUCUGAAACGCAGAGAGAGGCCAAAACCAAGCAACAACCCACAUGGAACCCAAGCAUUCCCACCCCUUCCUUUCCAAACUUGUGCUCCUGCUUUUUUCACUGUGCUUCUCCCCCUUUCCCCACCCAUUUACACUAAAGCCUGCGACGCACCAACGCCACGCACACACUCGCGUACACUUCGCCGUGCUUUUCUUUUAGCUGUGCGUGCUUGGACUGUCCCAGAUUAUUGCCUACCUACAUCACUCCACCCUCCAUGAAUGGCGUACUACUGUGAUAAAGAUUUACAGUUUCCACCGCAUUAAUUUGGUCGGAGUAAAGAUAUUGGUCUUUCCCUCAAAUAUAACAUGCAUAUAUCGUCCUACGUUAGAUUAAACGCGCUCAUGGCUACGCGUCGCGUCAUGUUAUAUAUAUAUACACGACAAAAUGAAUAUUUUUAUUCUUAUUAAACUUGAUUUACAGCCGAACUAUAACUUCAUCAAUCCAAACGUACCAUUAUAUACUCUCACACUAUAUUUACUAUUUGUGAAUGGUCAAUGCCCUUCUCACGACUUUUCUUCGACUUACAAGAACUUUAUUUAUAAAAAUGGUCUCAUAUAAAUAAAUAAUAAUUAAGAGAGUAGUACUGGAGAGUUCAUACCACUUUAUGAAUGAAGUGGGUAGCUUGUUAUUUUUUUCUCAAAAAAAAAAAUGAACAUAAGAUUUUGGAUUCAUAUUUAAUGGAUUUCCAUAGAUAAUUUCACACAAGUGAGCUUGAACCGGACUUGGCCUACCUAACAAACAUUUUUCUUCAUGAGAUUAAAAAAGAAAGGAAAAAGGAAACGCAUAUCCUAAGCAUAUCCCCUACCUUCUUAGGAUGGGUCCGUUGAAAUGAAAUAAGCAUCCUAAUUAAGCAUCCUCAUAUUUACACAUUUCUUCUAAAUUUAUAUAUCUCUUUUACUACAAUUAUUAAAAUUGUAUAGUAUUACUAUAUGACUGGUGCGUGUGUAUAUAUAUAUAUAUAUAUGUGUAUAUAUAUAUAAAACAAAUAUAAGAGUUUUUUUUUUUUUUGCAGUGUGGUAUAUAGACCAAGACCAUGAAUAAUUUUCUCAGGACCACAGCACACUGACCGGUCCUUAAGCAAACUACAAUAACUCCAUCGCCCUUCAAUGACGCGCAGAGGAGGUGGGGCCUCCAUGUGGAGCUACAUCCACGUCAUCAUUCCCUCGUGGACCAUCAUAUCCCCAUGGUUGAUGUUGUUAUUGGGCGAUGAUGGUGUGCACGUGUCGCUCGUUCAACUGCGUGGCGAAGUGGUUAAUGCCACGGCCGUAGUAGACCAUACCAGGGGGAGAUAUAUAGACCCAUACACAAAUCAAAGAGGACGAGAAACCAUUCCUUAGACUGUGCCCACCACGUCAUUUGUGAACCAGCCCAAAUACUACGUAAAUUCAUUUUUGUUUUCCAUACUUAUAUUUUUAUCAUGUAAGUGAGUGAGUGAGAUUGUUAAAAUUACAUAUCCAUGCAAUGUUUUUAUUGAGAUCGAUGAUUUGGUUGACAGAAGGGAAGCAGACGGGAUCGACGGCUGAGAUAAAAGUGCGGUUCACGGCUGAUAUGAUGGACCAAGUAUAGGCAAUAGUUUUUAGUGGGAGAGAUUCCCUUUAAAUGAUCUGAACGGGUCUGAUCUGAUCUGAUCUGAUGUGGUCUGGUCUGAUCAUCCUAUUGAAUGGGCAUCACGAGUAACUCGUGAUACGAGAAACUCUGCACUUUGUCUUCAAUUUGUGUCUCUCUCUCUCUCUCUCUCUCUCUCUCUCUCUCUCUCUCUCUCUCUCUCCCCCACCAUACCAAACCCCUUCACUCUCUCCUUCUCUCUUUUCUCUCUCUCUCUCUCUCUCUACUCUCUUAAUUCCGUGCGACCUAUAUUAUUUGCACUAGGCUUUGCGCCCAUCUCUAUAGGUACUUCUCUACUUCUUAUCAUCUCUCUCUCUCUCUCUCUCUCUCUCUAUGUAUGUGUGUAUCUCUUUCUCUCUCUACUCUCUUAAUUCCGUGCGACCUAUAUUAUUUGCACUAGGCUUUGCGCCCAUCUCUAUAGCUACUUCUCUACUUCUUAUCAUCUCUCUCUCUCUCUCUCUCUCUCUCUAUGUAUGUGUGUAUAUAUAUAUAUAUAUACAUAUAUAUAUAUAUAUAUAUAUAUAUAUAUAUAUAUAUGUAUGUAUUAUAUGUGUGUGUGUAGCUAAGUAGUGAUACGUAAGGACACAGAGCUAUGAUGAACCUUGUCGGUGUAGACGAUGGGGGAGGAAGAGGAGAUGGGUGAGCGAAUACCGAGAAAAUUAACAACAAAGAAUAAUAAAAAGUUGGCCACACUUAAUGCACCCUGCUCAUGUUUGUUGCUUGGUGUUAUAUAACCAACCUGACCUAGCUAGCUCCCCCCUUCUCUCAAUCUCUCUUAACUCAUCUUAUUCAUGCCCAAAAAAUCGAUCCAUUUGAUGGAAAAUAACUCAGUCAUUAUUGUAACAUUUUCAUUCGCAUGCACGGUGGAAAUUCAGGAGCACGCAUGACGGAGAUCAGAUUACAAACUAGUCUUAAUUCGCAUGCAUACAUGGUGGAGAUCAUGUGAACCACGUUAAGUACACUUUCAAAAAAUCAAUAUGAUAGGACAAUAAUAUAAAAAUAAUGUGCGCGAUUUUUAUUCCAGUACACAUAUAAAUAUGUACCGAUUAGGUUCGAUGUAACUGAAUUUAAUAAAUUCGAUCCGCUUCCGAAGUACCUAUGAUACAUUAUUAUUAUUUUCAUUAUGUUAUACUCAUUACUUUGUCUCCUUCCUCCUUCGUAGUGCACGAACCCUAUCUAGUAUUAGGGCUCAUGAAGCAGCUUAGUUAGAGAGAGAAAGAGAGGCCGCAUGGUGGAGGUAGUAGGCGAGCGCUUCGAGGAGUUGGACAUGGCGGUGGCCUCUGCCAAAGUUGUAAGAGUGCACGGGAAUAGAAAUUGAGGCAUCAAUUAAUAAGUCUUAGGAUCUAUUAAAGAGAUUGCCUGGCCUCAAAGUCAACUUAGAACUUAGCUGUAACCAAGCAUGCAUGACGAUCCCAUGCAGAGUAGUUGACCACCUCGUUGACAAACCCCACUGUUGAUGUUUUAAAUUAUAUGUUAGGUUGGUUCCCUAGUUAGAGCUUCUCUACACCAUGUAUAUACGGACCCCAGUCUCAAUUUACAGCUUUGGACAGGGUUGGGUCGAGCUUGGACUCGAAUUCAUUUGAGGUUUGUGUCAAAUUGGGCUAAGAUCUACAGAGAACUAACCAUCACUAGGCCCAAUUGUAUGGACCGCACUUGUCAUUUCGUGAGCCCAAUUGACAACCCUAGUGCUAAGCUGCAUUGCAAGGGAAGAACUAUAAGAACGAACUAUAAGAACUAUAUAUAAAAGAGAAAGAUACACGAAGAAUCAAUUCUUCGACCAGAGAAAAAUAUUAUUAAUUAACUCUAAAGGCUAAUUAUAUUAAUCGAAAGACACACAUAUAUAUAAAGGGUCGAUACCAGAAUUCUACAUAAUUGAAAAUAAUAAAUUCUAAUUUAUCGCUAUACCUAAACUCAUCAGAAAUAACUAAAUAAUUAGACUCAAAAUAAAAAAAUAUAUAAAACUUUCUGAAAAUAAUAUAAAAAAGCAAAAAUGGAGAUCUGAAUAGUUGAAUUUGGAUUCCAGACUCAGCCAAAACUGUUUUGUCAUUCAAUAGGUAGAUUUCAAAAAGUGUUUUUCGAAUUGGAGUUCGCAUGCUGAAAACGGACACACGAUAGAAAAGUUAUGGUAGUUUAAAGAUUUUUCACGCUAAUUAUAAAAAUUAUUGAACUUAGCGGAAUUAUCGGCUCAGUUAGUUGAUCAGUAACACUUUUUCAGAAACUCUAACGCUAAAUUUGACUGCAUCACUUAGUUGAACCAUAUAGGUGUGGAAUACAUAUAUAGUAAAGCCUUUCAAUCACCAACCACAAGUUGUACGGAGAAUAUGUACUUCAACAAUCUAAUUUACCCCCCACACUGCUUUAAAAUUUACUCGUUCAUCCAAAAUUAAUGGUGAAGUAGGUGUCUCGAUGCAUUAAAAGCUUAGUAUAAUUGUUUUUCUUCAAUCGCACUGUAUUUUCAGACAUUUUGUAGCUCAAAGAGAGCAUACGUUGAGUAAAAUUUGUGAGCAUAGUAAUAUUCCGUAAAAAGGAUUUAACUGGUCAUACUUUUUUUGAGAGAGAGAAAAAUAACAUGCUUACCAUCUCGUUCAUUUUUUAAAAAAAAUCUACUAAGUUGAAAUUUAAAGCAACUAAGUUUUGAUUGAGUUUGGGGCCUCGAAAACUGACCAUCAAACUCUCCACCCCCUACACUAUGGUCAGUCGAUAUAUAACUAGUGCAAAUGUGACCUGAACCCGAUAUAUAUAUUACUAUUUUACAUCUCUUAUUUGGAACACCAUAAGAAAAAUCCAUAAUGGAGAUUUCAAAGUCCAAAUUUAAUUUAUUGAACAUAUUCUACAAUAUUUCAAAAGGCUUACGUAUGAUUGAGAACAUAAACUUUGGACAGCAGUAGUUUAUAGAUCAAGCAAUGUAUAUAUAACUCCUUUUUCUGUCGUUAAUUUUUAAAAUUAUUCAGUGACUUAGUAAUAUUGUGUGUGUAUAUAUAUAUAGAAUUAUAUAUAUAUUGAAAUAAUUUUAUCUAAUAAUUAAUAACUCAUUCGAAAUAAAAUUUUUUUAUUACGAUUGGAGUUAGAAUUUUUUUUGUUUUCUCCAAAAAAAGAAGCUGCCCGUUUUAUUCAUUUUUUUAAAGAAAUGAACUUAAUAGAAAUGUAAAACAACUAUACUUCAAAUUUGGAAUCUGGGAUAUCAAUAAUCAAGCUCUUUACCUACCUGCGCUAAGGACAGUCGGUCCAGAAAUUUAAUUUUUGCUUAUUGAAAUGUCUUUUAAUCUAUGAUCGGGUUGAUAAGAUAGCACACUUUGGUCUUGCUCGGAUGUCAAAAUAAGUUAUUCAUUCAUAUCAAAUUAAGUAUGAAAAUUUUUAUUGAAAUUUAACAGUGUGACCAAUUAUCCAAAAUUGAAUAAUAUAUUCAGCUUUCAAAUUAUUUUUCUAGAAUAAGAUAAAUCAUAUUGUAAGUGAAAUAUACUAUUCUAUUUGACGAUGGAUACCAAAAUCUUUCAAAUAGCAAAAAAUAAAUUUCUAUCCUUCAAUUAUACAAGAGAAUCUCGAUACCGAAUAAAUUAUUAUUGGAUAGCCUAUUUUGAUAUUCAGACAAGACAUAUACCUAAAAAAUAAUUUAUCUUUUUUUGAGAAUAGGUAGCACGCUACCUGCUUCAUUCAUUGAAUGGAUGAAUUGGGCUACAAAGGUGAGGCAGCGAGGGCCUCGAGGAAAAACAAUAUCAGCAGAGGUAUAUAAAAAAAUAAUAAUAAUAAUAAUAAUAAUAAUAAUAAUAAUAACUAUUAAUUUAUCUUAUUCUGGAGAAAAAAUGACUUUCAAGGCCAAAAAUAGUUUGUCUACUAAAAAUUUAAUCGCUCACACUCCAGAUCUGUCAAAUUUUAUAAGCUUUAUACUUAAGUUAAAGAAAAGGUAUGCUUCAACACAUCAUAGGUAUUGAAAUCUAACUAUUAAUUAGUGAAAGGAUAUGUUUGGAUUUUAUAUUAAUUAAGUAACCUGCUGAACAUGUUACCGACUUAAAUUAGUCAAUAAGGUAGUAUUGUAGCAGUAUAUAAUAAAUUUUUAAUAAAUUUUUUGAGAGACCUCAGGUACCAACUACCAAAUAGUUUACCACUUACGUUAGCAACUAUUUGUUAAUUCCUUAAUAUUGUUGUUUACCAAAUUAGAUAAUGCUCAGUUUGUUAAGUAUCCAACUCAAAAAGAAUAUUGAAUUUAAAUUUGAUUUUUAAACGUAGUAUUGUAGUGUAAAAUUUUUAUUUUGUAAUUUAAAUUCAAUUUUUAAAUUUAAACCUAAAUCAUACUCUCAAACUUAAAAUCAAUUUUUAAUUUUUGAUGUAAAUUAAAAUUUUAAAUUUAAACUAAAUAUUUUAUUCUGAAUUUAUAUUUUAUAUUUAAAAAAAUUGAAUGCGAUACAAAAUUAAGUUUCAUAGCGUUGUUUUCAAGUUAAAUUCACAGUUUGGAUAUAAUUAGAAUUUCUAUCAUUAUUGUAUAUAUUUGAAAAGUCCACAAUAGUUUUAGUUUAAUAAGACAAAUCAUGGUGAAUACUACAUAUAUCUCAAUAGCAGGUCACCUCAAGAGUUAUAAUCAAUCUCAACUUCUUAUUUUGAAAAAUUAGCAUGCUACCUCUCUCUCUCUCUCUCUCUCUCUCUCUCAAAAAAAAAAAAAAAAAAAAAAAAAAAAAAAAAAAAAAAAAAAAAAAAAAAAAAAAAAAAAAAAAAAAAAAAAAAAAAAAAAAAAGAAGAAGAAGAAAAAAGAAGCAGUCAAAGGAUGUAUUAAAAUCGGCCUAAUUAUCAAAAUAUGUAUCUAAUAAAAUGUUAAUGAACUUAAAAAGAACAAUUAAGUUUUAGGUGUUACAAAACCUAUUGUUUGUAUUACUAGGCCGGCUGAUCGUACGGACAAUAGGCCAGGGCCAGUAGAUCGUACGGCUGUGAUCUGAUCAUGAUCUGAUGAACCUGUGACCUUUACGGCCACGUUGAUGCGACUCGUUAGAGGAGGUGAUACAUUGUAGGCGUUGGUGAAUCAAGGUCUUUAUUACCAUGCGUACAGCGUACAUGGUGUACCUCCUUGUACAUUUCUAGGGUUUUGGUCGGGAACACUUUGACGCAUUUUAAAAAAGAGAUUUUUUUUAUAUAUAAAUUAUUAUUUAUUAAUGCCACUAUUAUUUUAUAGAAAUAUAUUCACAUUAUUUGUAUUAAUAUAUCAACAAUUUAUAAGAAUAACAAUAUAAAUAAUUAUACUAGAGAGUGGAUUCUCUCAACCUUUAGAUAUGUAAAAUUUUCUGCGCUUCCAAAAAUUAUUAUUUUUUUAUUUUAAGUGCCCAUAACAAAGUAAUUUGGAGGACGUAGUCAUAGUUAUUUAUCAUUUUUUUGAUGAAAGGGAUAAUAAAUAGCCAAUGUAAAUUUUAGAAUAGAACUAAAUUCAUAAACAAAAGGAAGAAAUUAUAAUUAGGUUAAAUUACAAAAGCAUUCCUCAAUGGUAGCUCCAGUACUAUAUGAAAAAGUAUACAUUUUGCCACUAUUUCAAAUAGAUUUGAAAAUUUUGAGUGGUAAUUAAAUUUAGUCGUAAAAUUUUAUAAAACAAGUUUGUAGAUAAAGUUAUUCGUCUUUAGAAUAAUAUUGCCAUGGUAGUCAAUCUCCAUUUUUUUAAUCGAUUUUUAAGUUACGGAUUAGACAAAUAUUAAGAUGUAGAAAAAUAUAAUAGACAUGUUAACUUAUUUUAAUGAAGCUUUGCAAUGAAAUUCCCCGAAUACACCAAAUUUUGUAACCUAUUUGAAACAACGACAAAGUGGAGGGUGGUAACAUGUGAAACAUUUAAAUACAAACCAGAGUAAUCGAGAGAUGGACAAAGACACAGAGAGACAAAUAUAAUUUAGACAAUUUAUAAACAUCGAGAAAUGCCAAAUAUAAAUCAAUUGCGCUAGGUACGGUCGGUGCACACUCAGCUUGUGCGAGUUGGGCCUGGGACUAAUCCAACAAAUUAGCCCUCAGAUCCAAAUUUGGCCCUGAAAAAAGAAAAUUGAUGCUUCCUUUAUUGGGCCUGGGUUCAUUACAAAUUUCUAAACUUAUUCUCUAUUUUAUGUUGAGUCAAUGGAGGUUUCGAGAUGCAAUUUCUUUUUUUCGUUUUCUUCUUUAUAAAAAAAGAAAAAGCCCAACUCCAUUACUAUAUGAUAAUCAAAUGGAUUCAACUUGGAUUCAACUUGUUUACGUGCCUAUAAUAAUUUACCAAGCAACUGCUUCUCAUGAGGCAAAAUUUGCAAGGGCCAUAUUGUUUGCGUGAAUUUCUAAACAAUUUAUUAUCGACUCACGAUAAUAUCAUUACAUCACACCGACCCAAUGUCCCUAGCACAAGUGGCAAAAAGGUUUGGUGGUUGGUACCCGAGACGCAAGUUCGAAUCCUAGUUGAUUCAUAUUUCCAGCUGAGUUUAUUACUAAAUAAAAUAAACGAAGCGAGUAGCAUGCUAUCUUUCUCUCAAAAAAAAAAAAAAUCAUUACAUCACUUUUGGCAUAGCCUAGUCCAAAAACCUAGAAAAAAAAAGACAAAUCAUUAUCAAGUCACAUCUUUUUAAUUGGUGUUGUUCCUAAUCAUUAGAAACAAACAAUUUGGAGAUAAAUAACGUUGUGCACUCCAUUGAAAUGUCACUCAAAAGUCGCUUACAUACUGUGAGAAAAAGAGGCCAUGCAUUGAUUGAGAAAAUGUGGAUCCCAUUAAUUUAAAGCCUCACUGUAUAAGUACGUACGUUAGCGUGUGAUCUUGGUAGAUUAAAACAUAUUAUUGUCACCAUCAUAUACAUAUAAAAACUAUAUCGAAAAAAUAAAAUUAAGGGCUCCAAUCACUAAAUUAAUACUAGUAAAAUCAACUAACAAGUAAAGUAUAUUUGGAUCGUGUAAUGCAUGUAGGUUGUAUUUGAAAGUGGUUUGGCCUUAAAGUGCUCUCAAAGGCCACUUAGACACAAAUAGAGACCAUUUGACGUGAUGUGAACACAAGGCAUAUAUAAUCAAAAUAAAUAAAUAAAUAAAUCAACCAAUCUUUUAAAUAGGAAAACAAAAUAAUCAUCUUCCCUGCUACCAAUUAAAAAAAAUAUCUAAUCAACUUUGCUAAAAUUUGUGUUUGGUGAAUAUUGCAUACCAAUUUCUAGCAUCGACUAAGGAAUCUCUAUACUGUUUUGGACUUUUUUUCUUUUUUUUUUUUGAAAAAAAGCUAUCUGCUUCAUUCAUAAAGCGGGAUGAAUUAAGCAUACAGAAUGGAAGCAACAACGGCCUCCGAAGGCAAUAAAAAUUGAAAACAAAGAAAGAAGAAAGUACAGAAAUUACAAGCAAGAAAAAGAAGGGACGGGGAGGAGCGGGAAUGCUUGGAGAGGAGCAAAAUCAAGACAAUAUACUCCAGUCAUUUAGGAGUCCGCUGAUGCGGUCAAUUGAACGUACUGCGUUAGGUGGUGCAGCCCGAAAGAUGACGGCAUUUCUAUCAGUCUAGACGACCCACCAAGUUGCCGCCAGAUGAGUUAGGCCUUUGGAUUUUAACGCAGCAACAGGGUUGUCGGACACUUUGGCCCAAAGCUCGCAGGCUGGUCCCGAGGUUUUAGGAAAUGAAUCAAGGUCUGCCAAAGAGAAUAGGAGGAAGCAAACAAAAAUGCAAUUAGAGAAUAGAUGGUCGCAGCUUUCCGGGAAAACCCCACAUAGCACGCAUAGCGGGUCUAAGGGCAUGCCUUUGGUGAUCAACCUGUCAAUAGUGAGUAGUCUCUUUCGAAGCAACGUCCAGAUGAAAAUCUUGAUUUUGGUCGGUAUCUUCAAGGUCCAGAUGUGUUGGUUCCACCGAUCUCUACAUCCACCGUCAGUAAUGAACCGAUAUUGUGAUUUAACCGAAAACAGGUGAUUGGUGUUCCAUCUCCAUCAGAGCGAGUCUUGUCUUGCACGGGUGUCUACAUAGAAGUGUCUCUUUGAGUAAUUGCAAUUGUCUACUAGUAUGAGCCGAGUGGGACGCACGAAGCCUCUCGUGACGAAACGCCAUCUCCAGCCAUUAUGGUUCCGGCAUUGUGAUAUUCGAGCUUCCUUGUUCGUGAUUUGUGAAUAAAUGUCUGGGAACAAGGUGCUCAGGGUAGUUUCACCAAUCCAAAUAUCGGACCACAGUCUAAUGUUUCGUCCGUUACCAAGCUCGAAAGAUAUGCCACACUUGAAGGUAUCGCGGCAUUGAAGUACACCUUUCCACCACUGGGAAUAUGGUACAAAACUUCUUCCCUCAUAGAGUGGUCUUCGUCUGACAUAGUAGAGAGAUGAGAUCAAAUUGUGCCAUAGUAAAUGUGGUUCAUUAAAGUAAUGCCACCACCAUUUAGAUAGUAAGGCCAGGUUUAUGGCCUCCAUAUCUUUGAUCCCUAAUCCUCCUUCUUUCUUGCUUUUACAGAUAGACUUCCAACUAGCAAAACAAGCUCCUCCAGAGAUGCUGGAACAACCUUUCCAAAAAAAGGAUCUUCGGAGGGAUUCGAUCCGGUGUAAAAUCCAUUUCGGCGCUUUGUAAAUGGAGAAGUAGAAAAGCGGCAAAUUGGUGAGUACGGAGUUGAUGAGCGUAAGUCUGCCCCCUUGAGAGAGGAGUUUGGCUUUCCACCCCUCUAUUCUAGCUGAAAUACGGUCUAUAUCUGGAGCCCAAUCUUCCCUGCGAAGGUGUUUAUUAUAGAGCAGUAGUCCUAAAUAGAGAAACGGAAAGGUCGCAACUUUGCAACCUAAGAUGCUGGCGAGUCUAUUGGCUCUUUGGGGGUUAGGUCAAAGAUAGUACAUGUCAGAUUUGUCCAUAUUAAUUUUCAGCCCGGAUGCCUACUCGAAAAUGUGCCAAAUAAAUUGCAGGUUUCGCAUGAAGUAUUUCCUAGGCUCGGAGAGAACAAUUGUGUCAUCCGCAUAUUGGAUCAGAGAAUUUAAUGGAUUGCGUACAAGUCAAAUUUAAAUAGAGAUGGAUGCUCAAUUGGUCGUGAUCUUGAUAGUUAAUACUAUUUUUGAAUAAUUUGGUACUUGUUUUCUGUCGUUUAAUUUAUUUCGUUACAAGCCUGCGAAGAAAUUAAUGAAUGGAAAGUAAAAUAGCAACUAACAACAAAUUAUUUUUAAAAAAAAACGGUGAAAAAAUUACUUUAUUUUUAAUUUUCAACAUAGAGCAAUUUAUGACUAAUACGAGGCACCUCCAUUUUUAGAGCAACACUAUCCGUAAACUUAUUUAUAGAGUAUAUAUAUAAAUCUUAUAUUUUACACAUCUAAAAACUACUCUCUUUUUUUUUUUAACUAAUCUCUUUAGUUGACUAAGCGCAUUUAAGAUUUAUACUUACUGAUAGGUGCACAGAUAAUAUAUUUUUUAGAAAAACUUCAAAUAUCCAUCCUGUGGUUUCGCACUUUCUCACUUUAGUACCCUAUGGUUUAAAGUGUAUCAAGUUAGUAUCCUAUAGUUUCGCACUUUCUCACUUUAGUACCAUGUGAUUUAACGUGUAUCAAGUUAAUCCUCGUGGUUUCAUUUUUAUAUCAAGUUAGUACCCUAUGGUUUUAUUUUUCUCUUUUUAUUAUUCAUUUUGAGAUAUUUUUUUUUGUUAAAUCAGUGACAAAAGUUAAAACUAAAAAGUACUAAAAUAAAUAUUCGAUAAACCUAGAUAGGAUAUUUGAAGUUUUUUGUAUAUAAUUUAGUAAAAUAUUAAAUCACAUGGUACUAAAGUGAGAAAAUACGAAAUCACAGGGUACUAACUUAAUACACUUUAAACCACAUGGUACUAAAGUGAGAAAGUGCGAAACCACAAGGUACUAACUUGAUACACUUUAAAUCACAGAGUAAUAAAAUGAGAAAAUACAAAACUACAGGGGGUAUUUGAAGUUUUUUUUUUUUUUUAAUGUAUACAAAAGGGAACCCUUUUUUUUUGUUUAAUUUAAAAUUUUUUUGUCAAAGGAGUAGGUGCUAACGUGAACUGAUUACGAAGAUAUAAUUAUCGACUCCUCAACUUAAUUUAACGUCAAAAUACAGAGUCAACAAGCUGUGUUUUCCCAUCGAUCACGCAUUCAAAUCAGUACGGAAUGCGUACGAUUCUUUAAUGAUUAAAACAAUAAAAUAUUUAAAAUGUCCCUCUCCUGCCACGUUUCAACGUCGAAUAGUUGACUUUAAUUUACCAACUAACUAAUAUUUAGUUUAAUUAUUUUUUUUUUUUUUAGCAACGCUUAUCCUCUACAUGCAUGUAAUUAUAUCCUUGUAUACACUUCCUUCAGAAUUAUUUACACAUGUAGACAUUUGUUUUACUUAAGAUCCCAAACGCUAUUAGGAAUUUAUGUAUAAAUAAUCUCACAUUGAAUAAUAUAAAAAAAUAAUUAAUAUAUAAUAAUAGGGCAAAAUCGAAUAACUUUAAGCUUUCAGGUUGGAUGACUUUUAUUAGGUAUCUCCUAUCCUUGGUCGAUGUGGCUUCAGAUUGAAUCAGAAUUCACUGAUAAGCAGUAUCAGAAUCAGUAGUUUGACAAUUCUUGACUAGUUUAAAUAGUGUGAUUUGAUUGAGUUUUUUUUUUGGGAAUUAAAUAGCGAGCUAUCUGCUUCAUUCAUUAAGAAAAUGAAUUAGACUUACAUAAUGGAAGCAGACAGGGCUUUUGAGCGAGAAGGGCGAGACAAAAAAAAAUAAAAGACGAACAAAAAAACAAAGACAGAAAAACAACAAAUCACAAGCGAAAGAAAGAGCUACCACUACUGCUAUAACUGUUACAACCAACGCUACUGCAAUUGCUUCUAUUACUACUACUACUAUGUUUUCCAAUUAUUCAUCCAUCAGCAGAUUUAUACGGUCUAGAGCUCGGGAAGGAUUAGUUUGCUUAGCACGGAUGGAUUUGUGAAGGGUUAGACUACUACUACCCUUCACAUGAUGGGUUUGUGAAGGGUUAGAUUAGGUUCACAUUGGAAAAAAGUGACGCUUUGCUAUGCUCAGAGAGAUUGAGUUUAAUAAGGAGUUAGGUCUUCACAGUUAUAUAUUAAUCAAAAAACCUUUAGGUGACAUCCCGAGCUAAAAUUAUAAAUUCGAAUACUUUUACUGACUAUAUUUAUCUUGUGUAGUUUGGCUAAGAGUAUGAUGGUUGAUACUCAAAAUUUGAAAUUCGAAAAAAUAAGUAAAUCUAAAUAUUUUUUAGAUUUUUUAGGAUAAUAAUAUCUAUUUAAACCAAACAUCAGACAAAUUUAUUUAUUUAUUUUUUUUUUUUGAGAGAAAGGUAGCAUGCUAUCCGUUUCGUUUAUUUUAUUUAGAAAUAAACUUAGCUGAAAAUGUGAAUCAACUAAGAUUCGAACUUGGGUCUCGAAUACCAACCACCAAGCCCUUUGCCACUUGCGCUAGGGACGGUCGAUCCAAAUUUAUCUAAUGCCCUUUAUUUAUUUUUUUGAGAAAUAGAGUUUUAUAUAUAUAGUCCUGCUACUAUAUCGAUGGUACGUAUUAAGCUCUUGAUACUAUCAAACUUUCUACCGUUAGAUCUAUCUUUUGAUCAUUUUCACUUAUUUGAUUAUAUUAUUCAACCAACAACCCAUUCAAUUAAAAAGGACUACUUUCAUUCUAACCGCAUAUUCUUUCGUCCAACGACUGAAAAUUCGAAUUAGGAAAUAUUUUGAUCAUUUUUACUUAUUUGAUUAUAUCCAUUUCCUUUUGAAUUAGGAGAUAUUUUAAAAUGUUUAUUAUGAAAUCUCUCCGUGAAAUAAGCGUUGUAAUUAUUAUUAUUACGAAAAGCCAAAUUAAGGAAGCAUCGUAUGAGCUUCGUGUUCUUGAUGUUUCUACGCGAAAGCCAUAACUACAGGAGAACAAGUAAGUGUACCUGAUGAACGGUCCAUAAUAAUCUUCGAAUUUGGCGUUUUCGUGUGGACCGUACGUUACAGGACAACGUACGCACACUUCCCCCGGUUUUAGUGGUGGAGGUCACUUCUAUUUUUCCACAUUUUCUUCUCUUUCUCCAAAGUUGGCCACGUCGAAUGGCCACGUCAACAUACUCUGAAUAUUUAUUAAAAAAAAUAGUAAGGACUCUUUUUAGUGUCAUAUUUAUUUUAUUUUAUUUUUUAUAAAAAUGUGUAUAUUAAAAAUAUAGAAAUCGACUGUAAACUAUUUGCAAUUCUAUUCAAUUGAUCUUUAUUUGACAAUACAAAAUUAAAACAUAAAAAUUACAGUAAAAAAUUAAUUAAUAGAUCUAGCACUGCUUCUUUUCUUUUUUUUUUUAUAAAUGGACGCAUGCACAAAGUUAUUUAAAAUUAAUUUUCAAUUUACAUGUUACGUUUGUUUAUAAUUAAAGCUUCAUUAGCGGUAAGUUUGUUCAUUUAAUGAAGCUCCAUUAAUUAGCAUCGGUCCCUAAAAACCAAUCGAUACAACUAGUUUUUAUGUAGAAAUAUUGUUUAAACAUGAGAGUAAAUUAGAAUAGAAUUUGUAUUAAAAUGAUUAGUUCUCUUUAUGCAAGUGUGUGAUAUUCAUCUUUUUCGUAGAUUAUACAAUUUUUUUAAUGAUAUAAUUUUUAGGCUUUGGUUAUUACUACUGUUGUUUUUUUCCUUUGCGAGUAGACUUAUUUCUAAUAUCUUUACUGAAAUUCUUUUAUUUUCAUUUUCAUUCAAAGCCUCUGCUCUUGGUGCAAAACUAAUUUAUUUACUUACCUUUUUAAAAUGAUACUAUAUCUAUUAACACAUUUGACAAUAUAGUAGGAUGAAUAAGAUAUAUGAUUUGCAUCUUGAAGAGAGCAAACAUUUAACUUUUUUUUUUUCAAAAAAUAUAUCGUAAUUGAAUCAUUAUAUUAUUACGUAUGCAAUAUAUUUUCAUCAUAUUUUCUCACCGCACGUAAUAUAAUUUUUUUCUCCAAUCCCAAACAAAAUCCUAGUGUGCGAAUAAUUUCCAUUUUUAUUAUGGCAACAAUUUUGAACUUUUAAAAGGAUUAGAAUAUUCAAAAACCAACCAUAACUAGAUCCCUAAUUAAUCCCUAAUCUCACUAGACUCUCUUUAAUUAUUAUUAUUUUUACUAUUCUUUAUUGAAAAAGUGGAUAAGAGAGCAAGCAUUAGAACAGGUAUUUGGGCACACGCUUUCCGUCCCACCACCCUUUUCGCCAACAUUACUCUCGUGCGAUGCACCGGAAUUUCGUACGGCACGCAAUCUCACACACUCCCUAGAGAAUUCCCCACCGCUCCCACUUCGUCCCACCUCACCCCCAUUAACCAUUCCCUGCACCUGGAGCAUUCUCUUACAAUUAUGCACCGUUCCUCCGCCAACUCAAAAUUUUUAUCAGUAUCUUGUUUAACUGCUCAAAAUUCGCACUUAAAAUUGCUCAACUGAUUCCAAAAAAAAUUGACAGAAUUUUUCAUUAUAUUAAUGACUCUCACCCCGUUUAUUUUCAGUAUUUGAAAUAAUUUGUAUUUGAUGAAUUUUUUUUAUUGCAAAUUAUGAUAUACCAAUAACCCUGACACACGUUUCUGUAAAUUAAUUAUAGCAUCUUUUUGUUGUAUGAUUGAGGAUAGAAUAGAAAAAUGAUCACUUUAAAAUAAUUUAUCUAUUUUAACCAAACGGCAAAACGACAUAAAAUCCAAUUGAAUUCUAAUUUAAUCCAAAUGAAGUAUUUGGUUUUAAAUGAAUUCAUCUAAAUUUCUUUCAUUUGAAUUUGAUUGAAUUCUAUAUAUUUAGAUUUAGUGUUAGAAACGGAACAUGCAUUCAAUAAUUAGAUUGAAAAUAUAAAACAAAGUAAAAGACAAAGAUUCAAAACUGUAUAUGUCAAUUAAAAAUUUCUCUAAAAAUCGUAUGUUCUCAUCUCUCGAGGCUUAUUAUCAAAUCAAAAUCUAAUUUAUAAAAAUGAAAGAUUUUUUAAAAACAUAUUAUUCAAAGUUUACAAUUUUAGAUGUACGGUGUAUGAGACUUAUCGGUACACCUGGUGCAGGCAAUAUUGUCCUUCAGUUCAUCGGUUUCACACCUGUUGACCAUGAACGGUCAAAAAUAUCUCGGAGUAAUGAUCCGUACGUACGUUAAAGGACGAGAUCAGAUCCCUCACGAAUCGUUUCGCUUCCACAGUGAUGCGCGACCUGUGCGAGAGUUACACCGUAAAGAGUUUCGACUCUCAUCAUGCGGGGAAGGUCGUAAUUUGUUUCCCUGUAAAAGUCCACUUCCAGUGUCGCCUCCUCUCAAUCUCCGCGUUUCGCGUUCAAAUGUAUAGAAACACCCAAACCUUUUGCUUUUUUACAAAAACACACCUGAGUUUUUAAUUUCGAUGAUUAUAUAUUCUAAACUAUAUCUAAUAGAUCAAUACACCAAUAUUUUCAAUUCAAGUUAUUAAUUAUACAUUAUUUUGGCCGUAUAGGUUGCAUAUAAUUUUACAAAGUUUUAAACCACAAAUAAUUUUUUCUUGUAUUCUAAAAUAUAAAAAGCGAUAAAAAUUAAAGCUCGGUUCAAUUUAUUCUUUAAUCGUAAAGUUCGGUUCAAUUAUUAAAAUUGAGAGAAAAAAAUAGAUUUUUUAUACUUUAAUGUCUUACAAAUAAUAUACAUAACAUUCGAUCAAAACAAGUCGUGUAAUUAAUAAGUCACUAAAGAAGAGUCUAUUAAACUAUUUGAUAAAAUUUAAAGAGUGUAAUUACCAACAUUGAAAGUUCGAGCAUCUCUUUGCAAAAAUACUGUAGUUCAAGAGGUAUCAGUACAUUUUACCAUUUUUAUUUUUUAACUAAAAAAUAUAGAGAAUUCAUCGAUACUAUAUAUUAUUUUGAAUCAACGAUUAACUUUUUCAAAAUUUUAAUUUUAUUAUUUAAUUUUUCAAUGAGCGGUGCUUUAAUAUUUUUUAUUUUAUUCAUCCUUCAUUUGUUUACAAUGGACGGUUCAGAUUAACUUAUAGAACUAAUUGACCGAAUAUAAGCCUUAAAUAUUGGAGUGGCCUUAAAUAUUUGCUUGCAUGAGGUGCAUCUUAUAUUUCGUGGACCACUAAAAUUAUAGCUAUUCAUAUCUUCUUAUGAUUCAGAUAUCAAAUACAAAAUAUUACAAUUUUAAAAUAUUUAGAAUUAAAAGAUUAAAUAAGAUUAGGAUAGAUGAUUAGUGUUAGUUGGUGCAUGAUAAAUAUAAUACACUAAAUACAAGAUAUAAUUUUUCCAACAACAACAUGGGGAAAUUUUUGAAAAAUGGCAAAAAAAAAAUGUAUGGAUAGCCCCGUAGAAUUGCUAACUGUAAGAUGUUCCUCAUACUUACCGUUCAAGAUAUUUAGUCUCUGAACUUUCAUAUAUGUUAUAUUGUAUAAUCUCUAGUCAUUAAAAAAUCUACUUUGUACAAAAUAAUUAUGUUAUUUUUUUUAUAAGUUGUCUCGAUUAUUGUAGUAUAAUUAAAUUAAGAAAGAAUAUAGAGGCUUUUUUAUAAUGAAAAAUAAAUUUUAAAAAAAUUUAAAAACUAAAGUGUAAUGUUUUUUCAAGUUAAAAAAUUAUAGCAUGAAAAUUAAAAGCAUAAGAAUCUGCUUAUAUUGUGAUAGUACAAGGAGCUUUUCUUAGUGAUACCGUAUGCAUCUAUUGAUACAGUAAAUUACAAUCGUACCCUUUAUGCUUUAGCCGUUGGAUGAAAUUUUUUCUAGUGUGAUAAAACAGUGCAGGAGCACUCCUACCUUUUAAUUUAUUUAAUUGAGUUAGCCAAUAAUAAUUUUACUUCAAAAUUUAUACUAGAUAUUUAGUUUAAUGAAUUCAUAAUAGUAAGAAUUGUAUAAAGCAUGCUAUUUAAAUUUGAAAAGAUAAACGACGCAUUCAAAUUUUAAAAUCAAAGUAUCAUUAAUUCACUCAAACCAAAUAAAUUAAAAUAUUGAAAGAUGGGAUAGCCAAUUCAAAACGGCCCAUAGUUUAGCAAAUUCUACAAGUUUUUCCCUAUUUUUUAUCUUCUUUUUCAAGGUGGUUUUCAAUUUUUACUUUUUUUCUUCUAAAUAUGCGUCAGUCGCAUCAAAUCUAAUCUCAUCAUUCUCAGUAUUGUCCUCCACGUUUAUAACGGUUUCACAUCAAUCCUACACCACAUUAACUGCUUUGCUUUUGGAGCAUUCGACGUGACUCACGUCGAGCCAAAUGUGCUAUCAAAUUUUUUCAAAAAUAUGAACAAAUCGGUGCUGAGAUUGGCCGGUAGUUAAAGUAGGCAAUAUUUUAUUGAAAUUGACACGAUUAAUUUCCACAAAAUUUAUAUGGAUUUAGAUGAUUGAAUUCUAAGUUCCACGAAUAGGAAUCUAAUAGCACACAAAAAUAAAAAAUAAUUUAGAAACCAUUAAAAAAAAAAAAUGUUAGGGACCAACGGUGCAAUCAACCUUUUGUCAUUUUAUGCUUCUCACUUUCAACGGCUUGGAUUAUCUCCAACACAGAUGGUAUCCAACUGUGCCGUGUAGUUUGAUCUUGUGGUCUAUUUUCAAUUGAUUGGAGUUGUUUUAACUCAUCAUAAAUUUUUAAAAUUUUUAGUUAGCUGUUUGACCAAUUAAAAUUUUACAAAGUAAAUUUUGAGCUAAUUUUUUAAAUUUUGCACAGAUAAGGGUUAUUAGUACAUAGAUCUCUUCAUAGCUAAUUAAGAUAUAUAUCUAGUCACACUAUUGGUUUAUUAAACCCGAUCCAAAUCCACGUAAGUCAUAUAUAUAUAUAUAUAUAUAUAUAUAUAUAUAUAUAUAUAUAUAUAUAUAUUGGACAAGAAAUAUAUAUUUUUUAAAUUAAAAGUUGCGAAUUUAUUACGAAGCCACACGUAGCCACACGUAGCCACUCAAUUUAAGAUUGUAAUUCCGUUUCAUUCUCAACUGCUUCCUCCCAUUUAUUACUCUCCGAUAAAAAUGUACAAAGACCACUUAACCACAGCCAAUUUGGAAAUAGAUCCCUCAAUUCGCGUUUUUGUUUUAAAACUGAAUAAUUUGACUCAAAUUGAUUAAAAACUUUAGUACUAUUUUUUGAUCGAUUCAUUAAAUUUUAAUAAUAUUCCGACCAGAGAAAAUGGCCGAUGAAAUUAGUAAAAUUACUAAAAUUCCAACUUAAUAGAUGAUAGUAACUUAAAUAAUUUAGAAACUUGAUAUAUUAUAAUAAUUUUGAGGGAGUGAUCUGAAAGCGUUCUGUAGUUAUGGGAGACCCAUGCAUUUUCAUCUUCGAUUUAUUAUGGUAAAUUUUAAAUACCACCCAUAUGGUUUCGCACUUUUUUGCUUUAGUGUCUUAUAGUUUAAAGUGUAUAACUUUCGUAUCUUAUGAUUAUUUUUUUUUAUUAUUCCAUCCACUAUUUUUUUUGUUAAAUUAGUGACAAAGUUAAAUUAAAGGAUAGUUAAGUGACUAUUCGAUAAACUAUAGAUGAGAAUAUAAAAUUUUUUGUAUAUAAUUUUAAUAAAAAAUUAACAAAUGGGCUGACAAAAAGAAAAAAAAAAUGAAAUCAGAAGAUAUUAAAUUGAUAAAUUUUAAACUAUAAAGUACUAAAAUGAAAAAAAUACUAAACUAGAGGGGUGAUAUUUAAAGUUUACCCAUUUAUUAUGCUUAACACACACCCUCUCUCGUAUUGUGUGACUGUGUCACUCCCACUUCUUUCUCUUCGUGCGUUUCUCCUUCCAAACUCCUCUCCUUUUUUUUUUUUUUUUUUUUUAGUUGCUAAAAAAAAAAAAAUCUCAAUUCGAAAUUUAGAGAGGAAAAAAAAGGAAAAAAAAGGAGAAAGGAAAAGGGGAGGAUCUCGAGAUCGAAUUUGAUAAGCGAUGAAGCGAUACAGAGGAUUCAGAUUAGGGCGAAAACUCACAACCUUGUGGAAAUGGGCAUUUCGUUGUCGUCGCCACCACCACCACCGAAGCUACCUCCGCCUCGAUCCCAAACCCUACUCCCCCUUCCAAUCCCCGCCUCCUCCGCCCCAAUCCCUCUCCCUCUCCUUCCCCAACCCCAACCCUAACCCUAGGAAGCCACCGGCGAUGGCGGCGAGGAUCUUCGACUGGGGCCGCCACCUGAUCACCCGCCGCCUCCGAUCCAGCGGCGGCGAUGGCGCGGCGCUGAUCGAGGGCGAGGAGGCGAAGCCGCCGCCGAAGGGGCACAUGGCGGUGUACGUGGGAGGGGGGAGGAGGGAGGGGGCGGCGGCGCCGCCGCGGAGGUACCUGGUCCCGGUGAUCUACUUCAACCACCCGUUGUUCGGGGAGCUGCUGAGGGAGGCGGAGGCGGAGUUCGGGUUCCGCCACCCCUGCGGCGGGAUCACCAUCCCCGUCCCCGUCGCGCAGUUCGAGCUCGUCCGCACCCGCAUCGCCUCCGCCGCUCCUCGCCGGAGAAGAUGAUCGACCUCGUCGCCCCCCACCAUUGCUGUAAUUCUCGCUGUACAUAACCACACCCGAUCCCCCCCUCCCCCUUUUAAAUUUUCUCGUUUUUUUCUUUUUUCCUUUUCUUUUUCGGCUUUUUGGUUUUCCGGGUGUAGAAUUAUCGAUUGGUGAUGAAGCUUCUAGGGUUUUGGAGAAGGUCGAAAUUAAAUGGUUUGAUUUGGGAAUUAUUUGUUUGAUGCUGCUGUUGAUGUUUUCCUGUUGCUGCGUUUCUCUUUGGAGCAGAGGAGGUGAUUUACUACUAUUUUUCUCUUUGAAAAUUACAUACGUAGAAUAUUAAAUUAAGUAUUUAAUUUAUUUGACUAAAACUUAUAAUUUUUUUAAAAAAAUUUUAACUUAAACUUUUAUAAUUUAUUUUUUUUUUAUGUAUAUAUAAUAUAAAAUAAUAAAUGUUUUGGUUUUUUAAUUAAUACAUAUAAUAGUGUUUUUUUGACNAUAUAGUUAAAUUAUGUGUGAUAAAUUUUUUUAAAAAAUAUAUGAAUUAUUAAUAAAAAGGUUAUUAAUUUUUUAUAAGAAAUAUAAUAAUAUUUUAACAAAAUUAAUAUUAUAUACAUGAUAAAUAUAUAUUAUUUUAUUAUAAAAUUUUAUUUUUUUUAAUAGUGUUUAUGUCUUGUCGCGCUUGUUUUUUAAUUUUUUUAAAUUAUCAAAUCGCUCUGUUUGAGUUGUGCCAUAUUUCAUAUUUUGUGUCUAUUUUUAUGGUGCUUAGCUAAGGAUAUUCAAACAGUUAGCUAAUAAUCAAAGCAUUUUUUUAAAAAAGUUGUAAUUUUUAGCCCAAUUUGUAUAAAAAUUUACUUAUUUUUGCCUUUUGCAAAACCGGGUCACAUUUUUCGUUUUUGCAAAUUCGGUCCGCUUUUUUAACAAACUGACCAAAAUACUCUUAUUACUUUUUCUCUUUUCUCUUUCUCUCUCCUCUUCGUUUUUCUCUUCUUUUUUUUUUCGCCGAAAAAAAUAGCGAAGGCAGAGGCGGAGGCGGAAACUGUCCGACUCGCCUCUCAUCCUUAUGCUCUCGUCCUCGCCCUUGCCCUCGCCCACGCACCCCGACCUUUCUCACCUCCGACCCCGUCAAUACCUUGCCGUGACUUUUUUUUUUCUACUUUUUUCAUUUAAUUCUUUUCUUCUCCGACUCUCCUCUACCGUCUCCGACGACGACGUCACUCUCGCCCUUCCCCGCUCUUCUCGUCUCUCCCUCUCCCUCCUUCUCUGCCGCCUUCGACAACGAUACAUCUUCGCCGGCGCCGACACCGACACCGUGGAGAUCACUGCUGCUUUGCAGCUUUGGAGCGGAAUAGUCCUUAGCUGCGUCGUCACUGGCACCGUGGCUGUUGGCAGAGAAUGUGACAAAAAAAAAAUAGAAGAAACAGAAAAAAAAAAUAAAAAUUAUAUAAAAAAAAGAUGAAUAUGAAAUUGUAUCGUUAACUGCAAAAAAAAAUUACAAAUUGCACUACUUAAAUUGUAAACUGCAACUUUAAGAUGAAAAUUAUACUCUUUGGGAGAUAUUUACACUGUUUCUCUUCUUAUUGCACUCUUUCAGAUGUAAACUACAUCCAAUAACAUGAAAGUUACACUCUUUAAACGAAAGUUGUAUUGUUUCUCCUCUUGUUGCACCAUUCCUCCUCUUCUUACACUUUUUUUAUCUUAAACUGCACCCAUUUAAGAGAUAUUUAUACUAUUUCUCCUCUUAUUGCACUGUUUUCUCUUCUUGUUGCACUAUUUAUCCUCUUGUUACAUUGUUUUUCCUCUUAAAGGGUGCAGUUUAAGAUAAAAACAGUGUAAUAAGAAAUAAAUAGUGCAAUAAGAGGAGAAACAGUGCAACAAGAGAAAAACAAUAUAAAUAUCUCUUAAAGGGGUGCAGUUUAAAAUAAAAAACAGUGUAACAAGAGGAUAAAUGGUGCAACAAGAGGAGAAACAGUGCAACUUUCGUUUAAAGAGUGUAAUUUUUAUCUUAAUGGAUGCAGUUUAUAUCUGAAAAAGUGCAAUAAGAGGAUAAACAAUGUAAAUAUCUUUCAAAGAGUGUAAUUUUCGUUUAAAGAGUGUAAUUUUUAUCUUAAAACUGCAGUUUACAUCUUAAGUAGUGCAACUUAUAAUUUUUUUUACAGUUAACGAUGUAAUUUCAUCUUCAUCCUUCUUUUUCUAUAACUUUGUAUUUUUAUUUUUUUUUAUUUCUUUUAUAUUUUUUUUGUCGCCCCUCUCUGCCAACGGCCAUGGCGCCGGCAACGACGCCGCUAAGGACCCCCGACUCCGAGGCUGCAGCGCCGCAGUGACCUUCACGGUGUCGAUGUCGGCGCCGGCGAAGAUACAUCGUCGUCGAAGGCGGAGAGGAGGGAAAGGGAGGGACGAGAAGUGCGGGGAAGAGCGAGAGAGACGUCAUCGUCGGAGACAGUGGAGGAGAGUCGGAGAAGAAUAGAAAAAAGCAAAAGGGAAAAAAAAAAUCGCGGCGCGGCCUCGACGGGAUCGGAGGCGAGGAAGGUGGGGGAUGUGUGGGCGAGGGCGAGGGCAAGGGUGAGGGCGAGAGCAUGAGGGUGAGAGGCGAGGCAGACCGUUUCCGCCUUCGCCUCUGCCUUCGCUACUUUUUUCGGCGAGAGAAAAAAAGAAAGAACUAGAGAAACGAAGAGGAGAGAGAAAGAGGAGAGAGAAAAAAUAAUAAGGGUAUUUUGAUCAGUUUGCUGAAAAUUCGGACCGAAUCUGCAAAAAUGAAAAAGGUUGUCCGGUUUUGCAAAAGUUCAAAAUAAGUAAAUUUUUUUAUGCAAAUUGGCCUACUUUUUAUAAAUGCCCUUCUAAAUUGCAAUAUAUCAUUUCUUGUAUAUUUAAGAGGGCUUAGGGUUUAUUUAUGAAUACUUAAAAGGACUAUUGAUGAUAUUUCUAGAGUUAGAGGAAUAUCUAACAAGAAGCACUACUCAAUUAAAAGGUCCCAUUUAAUAUCCCCUUCUAAACACAAGCAAAAAUUACAAACCGAGGCUUAUUUGAAUAAAAUUUUAUAUAUUAAAAAAUAUAAAAGUAAAUAGUGAAUUGUUGGUGAUUAUUAUUUUAUUUAAAGUGCUUACUUUCCAACACAAAACAAAAACAUAAAAAUAAUUUUUUUUUCAAAUAUUCUUUUUAAAAAAGUUAUUAUUCACCGCUUGACCGAAUGUAUUAUAAGCUAGUCAACAAUAACAAAAAAAAAAAAUUUCUUUCAGCAUAUCAAAUUAUAUACGGUUGGUGUUUAAAAAAUAAAUUAAUGACAAUAAUACUAGGCGGUGACGGAAGUUUCCAUUUUUGAAAUUGUACAUUGUUGAAUCAUAAAUUUUCACAUCAUUGAACUAGUUGCAUCAUGAAACACAUUGUGGGUGGUUCAUCGCAUGUUUCGUGUUUAAUGCGGGUGACAACCUGGUCAGCAUAGCAUUCUCACCAAACCAACUUUUAAGAUACUCAUUAAGAUUCGUACGAAAGUAUGAAUUUUGGGAUGAUGAUUUUUGACGUGUCCCGCACCAGGGGUCCUCACAAUUUAUUUUAGCAAAAGCAUCACAAUACUAUAUAUUUUCUUUUUUCAGAGAAAGAUGAUGGAAUUGGUGGUGUGGUGAUCAAACUUAAUGCAUAGUUCUUUUUGUUCGUAUUGCUUUUGCGUUUUGUUUGUAUGCAUUAAUUAAGAUUAUCGACGCGAUUAUUUUACAAGAACUAGGCUCACAUAGUGUUCUCCUCGUAUUUGCUUUAUGUGUUGCUUAUUCAACAAAUAAUGAUUAGGUUGAUAUGUUAGUUUUGUUUCUUAUCCCUCUUUGAUUCAGUGGUGAAUUGCUUUUGGAAAUAAGAUUUUCAGUUUGAUCAUUUUGAGGGUCAAAACAAAUCGAACAUAAUCGGUAUCUAAAACAGUUUACUUAGAUUAGCCGUUUGGUUGAUUGUCUCGAUUUAUGGUUUAUUUAGUGGAUUAGUUAAGACAGAUUGAUUUGUAAGAAUUAAUUUUAUUACAAACUAUAUCCUUUUAUCAAUUUGGUUUAAAUUAAUUAGGAAUGUAAAUUGGACAGAUCCUAAUGCGGAACUGAUCUCCCAUCUUUCGGCCUGUUUCCUUGGUAAGUUGGGCGGAUUUGGAGUGAUGCUUUUUUUUUUUUUUUUUUUCACUUACCGCUCGAUUCUAUGCGGGAGUGAAUUUUUGGCGAAACAUUAUGAAACUUUUUUUUUUUAUUUUUGGCCCUUAUUUAUUGUCCUAUUCAAGAUGGGUCAGGGCGGUACAGCCAUCAAUUCGGAUCCAUUAGCAUCACUAGUUUUUCCUGUUGGUUUGCAAGUGGCCAUUACUCCUGGGAGUGGACCCUACCAAAACCAAAAUUGGGCCUGCUGCUUAAAAAAAUAAAAAAGUGCUUUGUAGGCCGGUGGGCAUACUAAAUAGGGCCGUAGUUCUCUACUUGCUAUGGGCCAAAAAGCCCAAAUUCAGGUAUAAUUUUGUGAGAAAUGAUUUAUUUGUAAACUCACCGAAUCGCGGCACCACUAGGGUUGUAAUGUGGGCCGUGUCGGGCCGGCACGGCCUACAUUUUUCUGCCCGAAACGGGCUAGGAUCCGGUCCGGCCUUGUGCGGAUUUUAUUUUGGGCCGGGCCGUACCGUGCCCAACUUGUCUACAAUGUGGCCCAGCAGGGCCCUUCGGCCCGGAAGGCACGGGCCAGCCUAGUAAAUAUUUAUUUUUAAAAUUUUUUAAAAAUUUUGUCUGAAAUUUAAAAAUAUAAAUAAUAAAUAUUUUUAUUUAAAUUAAUAUUAUGAUUAAAAUAUUAAAAAAUUAUAAAAAUAAUUAUACUAAAGUAAAUAUUUAAUUUUUUUAAAAAAUAAAUAAAUUUGUAUUAUCUAUUUUUAAAAAAAAAAUGAAAGAAAUCUUUGGUCCAAUGGACCAAAUUCUUUUGUCCAUUGGACCAAAAGUGCUACUUCCAAGGUUAGGCAGACCUUCGGAGACCCCAUGGCGCAGGCCAUGGGGUGCGCGCCUUGCAGGCCCGGUUGGCACGGCCCAAGCGGGCCGUAUCGUGCCGAGCCGCGCGCCUCCUCUCAGCCCGGAACGUCAGGCUCCAAAGAAGUAGCACAGCACUGCCUAGUGCCUCGGGGGGCCCGGCACAAGUGCUACAGUACCUGUGCCGUGCUGUAGCCCGGCCCAAGGCCGUGCCGAGCCGGGCGGCCCGUUUUACAUCCCUAAGCACCACUCUAAAAGGCUGUUUGAUUAGAUGUAAUUAUAAAUGCAGUAUAGUUAGGAUAUAUGCAGUUGAAAAUAUAGCAGUUACAACUAUAUGUAUCUUGUUUGGUUGGAUGUAGUAGAAAGCGCUGCAAGUAUAAAUAAUUUGUUUGAUUGCAUGCAUUUGAGAAAUAAUUUUUAAAAUCUUAUCAUUUUAUAUAUAUAUAUAUAUGAUGGUGAGAUUACCUUCAAUAUAAAAAAAGAAAAAAAAAUUUUGUUUAAAAAAUAAUUGAGCAGGUAAGCAUACAUUUUAUUUAAAGUUACUCUCUCCAACUGCUGAAGUUGGAACUGCGACAAAUUUGGGCUUAGUUCAAACUGCUGUAGUUGAGCCUUCUCUUGUAGUUCCUAUUGCAGCAGUUGGAGUUAAAUAUAUCAAACCAAACACUGAAUUUGCAUUUGCAUGCAGUUACAACUGCAGUGCAGUUGCAACUACAUGCAACCAAAUGGCCCCUAAAAUUUUUUUCCUGCAGCUGUGUUUCACCUGUGAUGGCUGGAAUGGUGUCUUUCGCAUGUAUACGGAACUAAUUUAAACUAUGAAUCAUUUUGAAUCAAUUACUCAAUAUUUCAGAAUUUUAAUUUUACUAUCCAAUAUUUAAAAAUUUUGAAGUCAAACAAUCGUUAAUUAACUCAAAUCGGGAACUAGGCUGGAAUACUAUUAAUAGCACCAAUGACUUGGUGCUAUUAAAUUUUCCGCCCUUGGAUGGUUAGGAUUAUGUGGGCUCCCUAGGGUUGAGUGGGUGGUUGGUUGAAUAAUAUAAUCGAACGGAUAAAAAUGAUAAAAGAGGUAAAUCUAACGGCGGAUAGCACCAAAUACUUCGUGCUAGUAUUCCAGUUGGACUCCUCAAAUCAGAUAAAUUAAAAAUUAGAAAGUAAAAUCUAAAUUCUAAAAAAUUAGGUAGUUGAUAUAAAAUGGCUCACAGUCUAAUUUAGUUCUGUACCUUUUCUUUUUUAAAUCAUAGUGGCCAAAGACGGAGCCAUUACGAGAGACUCGCAGUGGCCGUGGACCCCCUCAAAUUUUGAAAAAUAUAUUAGUUCUUUAUAAUAAAAUUAUAAUAUUAUAAAUUUGAGUUUUUAAGGGAGCUAAAUAGAAAUUUGAGAUUAUUAAAUAUAUGUUCCUAUUGCUGUUUCCGUUUUAAUUAUUAAAUAUAUGUAACUACGUUAGAUAAGAUGUCAACGGGUCGGAUUCGAAAAUUUUCUUUAAAAAUCCGAAGCUGAACUUAACUAUCAAAGCCAAAAUCUGAAUCCGAAUCUAAACCAUCGGAUAUUUAAAAUUCAUAAUGAAAAUCCAACCCGAUAGAAAAAAUGAAAUCCAAAGUUGAAUCACUUAUCCAAACUCGAAUGCAAUCAUUUCUUUUUACCAAAUUUUAAAAUAUAUCAUAUAUCAUACUCAACCUAAAUCCUUAAUGCAGAAAUUUAGAUUUUUAUAUUUGUGUAAUAUAAAAUCGGUUUAGAUUCGGUUUAGCUUCAGACUCAGAUCGGGUCAGAUAAAAGCCAUACCAAUCUAACCGAGUCCGACUCUUUCGAAUUUUUUCUUUCUUAUACCCAUAAUCAAAAACAUAUCUAUUUUGCAUCAAGUAAACAUACUUCAUUCGAAUACGAAUUUGGAUAAGCUUUUGAAUAUACAUACCUAUCGACAUGACAUCCUACGAAUUUAUAUUCAGAUAAAAUCUUGAAUAUCAGGACCUAUUAACAUCCUAGAGGUCAGUGGUUAGUGGUACCUAUAAAAGCACUUAUAGGCUAUAGCAUGUGAUUCCAAAAUCCAAUUUCUUUAAAAAAUAUUAGGUUUGUGAAAUUUUAAUUUAUAAAGGUAAGCUUGUAAAAAGUUUAUUUGUAAAAUAGUUCUAAACUAGUCACGUCUACGUCAUAUCAGUAGUGCUUGAAAAAGAGUGUCGAAUAAUUUUCCCUAUUCCAAACUAGGGAUAUGAUUAAUACUUCACCGCACUCUCUAGUAUCCAAAAAUGCAAUCACUUACAUGGCUUAUACGUGGCAACGUAUAAGCCUAUCGUUUGCAAAUAAAAUUUUGACUAAUCCAUUUUAACAAAUAUAAAUUUUCAACCAAUCUAUUCCAAAAAUGUCCAACAAAAUUGGCACAGAAUUAAUUUUGUCAAUACUAGGUUUCUUGUGCCAUAAAUUACUUGUUGUAUCUCACGAGAACAAAGAAAAGAGUACAUGAGCAGGUCAAUAUGUUACAUGGUCAAUUCCUAGUACCACAAUUCACGCAGGAGAAACUGCAAAGGUGGAAACAAUUCAUGGAUUAAGCGGAUCGAAAUACCAGGAACAAGAAUCAGCCACCUCAUAAGCUGGGAUUACAUAUGUUUUAUUAUCAAGCCCUGUUGGAAGGAAUAGAUGAUCCAAAUUGUCUCAUUAUCGAGUCAUUUGAGAUUAUAUAAGUUUAGAAAAAAUAUGAUAAAUACCUGAUAAAAUUGCUUGUGGAAGAUAGAUUUAAUUUGGCUGAGAAGGCUCUCCAGGUUUAUAGAAAUUGCGCAUAAAAUUUACAUUAGAUAUCUAAUAAUAUCAUGUAAAUAUGUGAAGAAAUCAAGAUUUUCAACAUAGAAAAUUAGAACUGAAAAAAUAAGAAAAAAUUAAAUAUUUUUUUUUUAAAAAAAGAUAGUACGCUAUCCGCGUCAUUUAUAUAGAACAUGAACUUAGCUAUAACAGUAAGAAAAUCUGGCCUCUUUGUAGAAAAAAAUAAAUAAACAAAUAAAAAAGACGACAUCAAAGAAAGAAAACAAGAAGAAACUAUGAAAAAGAAAAAGAAAGGAAAUGCAACCUAGAGAGACAGAAAGAAUCAAACCAAAAUAAAACAAAAUAAGGCUAAGAUAGAAAAAAAAAAAAACCCUAUAAAAUGCGCUAGACUGCGAAUUGUAUUUCCUACUGAAAUGAUGCCCCUCCACAAUCUCACUUGUCUUCUGAUGUCGCUUACAGUAAGGAUUGGGUCCUAUACAAACUUCAUGAAAAUCACUUUAUUAUUUUCUAGCUAAAUUGUCCACCAGAUUGCCGCUAAGGCACAUAGUCUCUUCGUAUUAUUCUGAAAAGAUGUCAUUAUUAUCUAUCUCUCUCAUACGUCUUUUCAUACAAUUCUAGAAAGAUGUCAAUACCAUCUAUCUCUCUCGUACGACUCUCAACCCCUCCCUAUCAUUCAUCUCUACAAGUGCUAUCACAAUACUUACUAACAAUGCAUUCCGUGAAGAUAUGAUCUGUCGUCUUAAGAUUAUCUCCACAUAACACACAAGUUGCAUCCCUUGCCCAUCCCCUUCUGAGUAGGUUAUCCGCCAUAAGCACUCUAUUUUUUAGUUAAUAUACUUUUUUGGUACGUGAAAAUAUUUUGUUAGAGCUAUGAUUCUGCUGCACCUCUGUUAAGUAGAAAACUUUCUUGGUGUGUGAGACACUACUAGUGAUGGUGACACUUUGAAUCUUUGUUGACAGUUUAUGCCUUAAUUGUAAAAGCACUUUUAAGAGUCCAAAUAAUUUACUAAUAUUGCUUAUUCUUUAAAAAGGAGCAAGAUAGUAUAAGUUGGUGCGCGUCGAGCCACUUUAGAGCAAUUGUGUUCUGCAUUAUAUUGACCUACUAGUACCAGUUUUUUUCUUUUUACCAGCAUAUCAAAUUGUGGCUUCCCCUGUUUUGAAGGACCCAUCAUUCUAUUAUUGAUCCCUAUGUUAAUAAUUUUUUAAUUAUUUUUUUAAGAGAAAGAUAAUAUUUAUUUUGGGUUUCUCCAUAUUCUUACAUGGUGCAUUAGUGCAUUGCCCUUUUAUUUUGAAGGAUUCGAUGGUUUUAUUAGGAAUGUUAAUAGAUAUGGAUAUUUAAGAUUUUAUCUAAAUCCAAAUUGAUCAGAUUUAAUCGAUGCUAAAUAGGUAUGACUUUGGUCGCAGGUAUAAAAAUAAAAAUAAGAUUGAUUCGAGUUUGGGCAUGAUUUUUUCUUUUUUUUUUCAACACACGACCGAAAUCCAAAUUUAAAUUUUGUUAGCUUAAAUAGACCAACAUCCUGCUUUGUGGGACGAGGUCAGGUUAAGCCGAGCCAUGUUCGGAAUGAUGUGAAACUGAAUUGAAUCAAGUCAUAUUCGAAGUAAUAUGAGGCUGAUUGUGCCGAAUCACAAUCAAGACCUGUGAGCGUUGUAUCUGUACGCUUUAAAUGAAUUAAUUGUGUAUUUCUAACCGUUCGAGCUUUUGAAAUUAAUAGUGAGGGCCAACAAUCCGACAAAUCCAAACCCGAACCUGAUUUAUAUUAUGUAGUAUAUAAAAAAUUAAAUUUAUACUUUAAAAAUUUAAUAGUAUGGUCUGUUUUUAAAAUUUGGUAAAGAAAAAUGAUUGCUUUCGGAUUUGAGUUCUCAAAUUUGGUUUCAAGUUUCAGUCUCUUUUGAUUGAUCGAUUUGGUUAUGUGUUUUCAAAAUUCAACUGGUCCGAGAUAAGUUUCGGAUUCGAAUUUCGAUUCUAAUUUUUAAAAAAUCUGUCCCGAAUAUGAACCCUUGACGUUUCAAAGUAUUAUGCUCUCUCUCUCUUUUGCUAGCCUACCCUGUCCGAGGAAAAAAAGAAAAAAAAAAAGUGUUACGCUGACAAUUCUUAUUGUAACAGCAAAGACCAAAAUCAGAGCCCUCUCUCUUUCUCUCUCAAGAAUUAACCUAUAUAUAUAUAUAUAUAUAUAUAUAUAUAUUUCCAACGGUACCAAAUCUUAGCCCAAUCAUGACAUGCACUCAUGCUUUUCUCCACUCCUCUAAGACCAGGAUCGAAACGUACGCCCCCUCCACCCUCCCCAUUAAAAUAAAAACAAUACAAAAAAAAAAGAAAAGAAGAAAGGUGGUAAAAACACCACUCCCAACAUUCAAAAAAGCGAAAGCAAAAGCACCAUUCACACUCAAAACUCCCUCUCCCUCUCUUUCUCCUUCAAAUUCUCUCACACCAACGAAAUUAAACAUGUCACCACCCCUCAUGAGCAAACUCCUCUUCCUCUUCCUCUUCCUCUUCCUCUUCUCCUUCACGUCCACUCAACUACUAAAACUAGUGCACGGCUCCUCCCCCUCCCCCUCCACCUUCGUCUACGCCGGGUGCUCUCCUUCCAAGUUCCAGCCCAACACUCCCUUCGAAGCCAACCUCGACUCCCUCCUCACCUCCAUCGCCACCACCGCCUCCGAGGUCACCUACAACAGCUUCUCCUCCUCCGCCGCCGCCGCCGACUCCGCCGUCUACGGCCUCUACCAAUGCCGCGGCGAUCUCGCCGGCGACGACUGCGCCGCCUGCGUGCGGAGCGCCGUCGCGCAGCUGAGCCUCGUCUGCUCCUACGCGCUCGCCGCGUCCCUGCAGCUCGACGGCUGCUUCGUGCGGUACUUUGCAAACAAAACAACCGUUCUUCUCUAAAAACUGAAGUCUUUUUUUUUUUAUAUAUAUAUAGUAACUCGUUUUUCAAAAUUAAACAACUGCUCUCGACGGACAGAGAACGGUGUUUUAAUAUUUUUAUGUCGAGCAGGUACGCGAGCACGAAUUUUCUGGGGCAGCAGGACACGAGCUUGGCGUACCGCAAGUGCAGCACGAGCACGAGCAACGACGAGGAGUUCCUGCGGCGGCGGGACGACGUGCUGGCGGACCUGCAGAGCGGGGUGGUGUUCAGGGUCAGCAGCUCCGGGUCGGUGCAGGGCUACGCGCAGUGCGUGGGCGACCUCGGCACGGCCGACUGCUCCGCGUGCCUCGCCCAGGCCGUCGGGCAGCUCAAGAACUCCUGCGGCUCCGCCAUGGCCGCCGACGUCUACUUGGCGCAGUGCUACGCCAGAUACUGGGCCUCCGGUUACUACUUUCAUCCUUCCGGAGGUUUGUGUAUUUACUUUUAGAAAAAACUUCAAAUACCACCUCUCUAUAGUUUGGAACUUUUUUUAUUUUAAUAUUUCGUGAUUUAAAAUAUAUCAAUUUUGUACGCUAUAGUUUUACUUUUCUCUUUUUAUUAUUUUCUCUACUAAUUUUUUUCGUUAAAUCAGUGAUAAAAUUAGAACUUAAGAAUAUUAAAAUAAAUAUUCGAUAAAUCUAGAUAGGAUAUCUGAAAUUUUUUGUAUAUAUGAUUGAACGAAAAUUAUUAACGGAGGAGCUGACGAAAUGAGAAAAAUAAACCACAGAUACAAACUUGAUACACUUUAAACCACAAAGUACUAAAGUGAGAAAAUACGAAACCAUUAUUUUUAUCCCACUUUUAUUUAUUUUUAUUUACAAGUAGAAGAAAAUUAAUUAAUGCAUUAUUUUUCCUGAUUUUAAAACGAGUUAUAGUUUAUAUCGGUGGGUACAGUGAUUUUUUUGUCAACGCAUUUCUUCUCAACGGUUGAACUCUACUCCAUGGUGCUUUAAGAUUCGCGCCAAGUAAAAUACAAUUGAAAAAGACUAGUUUGAUAGAAGGGUUUUCCUGGCCCAGCAAGCAACCAACAAACAUUCCCUGCCACCCAACUAACUGCACCCAAAGCGGAAAAGAAAUACCAACAAUUGAUCACAAUUACCAAUCGUCCCUAUCUAGAGCAAGUGGCAAAAGACUUGGUGAUUGGUAUUCGAAACCCAAAUUCGAAUUCCAGUUGAUUCACAUUUCCAGCUAAGUUUAUUUCUAAAUGAAAUAAACGAAGCGGAUAACGUGCUACCUAUCUUUCCGAAAAAAAAAAAAAAAACAAUUGAUCACAAUUUGAAUUCAAUGGUUCACAUAUAUUUUUUUUUCCUCUUCAUUAAUAAGAACCCCACAGAAUUUGUGGCUAUUACUUAGGACAGUACACCUUAAUUUUGGUUUCAAUUUGGGAAAAUUAAAGAUGAGGGCCCCCCACAAAACUAUGAAAUUAUGGAGCUCAGGUAUUAAUUAUUGAUUGUGACCACCUGAAGAUUAUUUAUGGUUCAAGGCUCAUUUGAGAAAGGUGACAAGCAGGGUAGUGUCGGACCAUAUGAAAAGAAUAAGUUCCCUGCAUGAUGAGUUUUCAAAUAAUUAAUAACUUAACAAAAGAAGGUUCAAGGAGAAAAAGAAUGCACUAGAAAAGUUAAAAAAGUUCAUAAUUUGCUACAACAUUGUUUCUAACAUAGAGAAUGCCCAUUUGAUGUCUAAUACUUAGCCAUAUCCACAUAAAAAAUUGAGUGUCUUAGUGGACUAAAACCAUAUUAUCCACACACAGUUUCUUUUUAGCAUAAUACUUGAGUAGCAUACUUGGCAAAAGGGGUUCUCUUUUAGUUAUCAACAAGGACAAUGAACAGUGGACCACCCAAACAUAAAGUAAUGAGCUUGUGGAGGAGGAUAUAUUCUCUCUGAUCACAAUCACUACUCCAGAUAUGAAUAUAUUCUAAGAAGAGAGAAUAUAUUUAAGUAGCACUUCAAAAGUGACAAACUUUACAAGAACUUGUUAACUUUCCUUUUGCUUUUCUAUUGUUUUUUUUUUUAAAGAAAAAGAUAGAUACUAUCAGCUUCGUUUAUUCUUUUUUAAAAAUUAACUUAGCUGAAAAUAUGAAUCAACUAUGAUUCGAAUUUAAAAUCUCGAAUACUAACCAUCAAAUUCUUUGAUGUUGAUAGAUUUGAAGUGAUGGGUUUUGUUAGCACUCAUUAAAUUUGAUCUUUCUUUCUUUCUUUCUUUUUAUUAUUAUUAUUAUUAUUUCUUUUAUUGUUUAUAGAUUCAGAGGAUGACAUUGGAAGAACUGUGGCAAUAAUUGUGGGCAUUCUGGCUGGAUUGGCCCUCAUUGUGGUCUUCAUUUCCUUCCUCAAAAGAGCAUGUAAGUUCCCCAUCCUUUUACCUCCUCUUUAAGUUCUCUCUUAGGUCUCUUAACAUUAAGAACUUGCUUGGUUCACCUAGACCACUUGCACCAAUUCAAAUAACUUUACAUAAUUUUACCUUUUAUUAUUAUCUAAUUUUUUUUAUGUACUUUACACAUUGAAUAUAUAUAUAUAUAUAUAUAUAUUUACUCCCUAAAUGCAGGUUAAUGAGCAGCUGAUAUUUCUCACAAGUGGCUCCAGUUGUGGUCCCAUGUUCUACACAAAUCCUAAAGGCUAAAUCCCCUCUCAGUUUUAUUACCAUGAGAGAUCAAAAUGCAUUCUCCGCGAAGAACGUGCACUUUCUCUUUCUGCAAACAUCUGCAGCAGCUUCGAGAUGUCGCGAUUUCGCUAACACAGAUCCAUAUUUGUAGUACUUUCAUUAACAAUACGAAGUCAUUUUUUGUUCCCUCCUCUUAUCAAAGAUGAGUUCUUCAAAUAGGCUUCUUUUUCAUCCACACUCAGAAAAGCAGAAAAAUACACAAGUGGAGGUAUACAUUUCCAUAUUUCCCUUCCAUUUAAUAUCUAAAUUUGAAGGCAACAAACAUUCUAGGAGCCAAGUUAGCAAACAUUACGACCAUAAAGAUCAUAUAUCUGUUCGCGAUAACAUCGGAUGUGAUCGAUCAUGUUUACAUCAGGUUCAUACAUUAAAGAGUUUAUUCACAUAAAACUAGAAGAAAGGGAACUUACCGCAGGUAUAUUUCGCGAGAAGUACAUUUUGCAUCAGCAUUGCAAUCAAGCGCUGUACCCGCGGCUUACGGGGCUCCAUUUAAUCGAGUUAUAGCCUCUGCAAGCACUCACACAAGCUCCCUUCAUUGCGUCCGCGGAAACCCCACUGUUGCAUAUAUUCGCAAACGCCCGCAUGUGUUUCAUGCCAUUCUGAGUUAGCGAUCCGCAAUGAGACUCGAAUAUUCUUACCUGAGGUGAAAAUGCAGUUGAUAAAUAUUAGUUACUUCAAUCUAUAUUGUAAAACUAGGUUAAAACAUAGGGAUUCACUGAACAACAGCACAAAUGGAGAUGAGAAUAUGAACUCUGAAAAUAUUAAUUUUACUGCCUUAUCAUAUCUAAUGUUUGAGUUAACUAUUCCUCCAUCAGAAAUUAACACUUCUUAAAUUUUUCUGAUGGAAUAUUGUACAACUUCUUUGACAGAAUUUAUCUAAUUCUAAUAUAAUGGAAUUCUCUGAAAUCAAAAAGCAGCGGAAACUUAGGCAGUAAAUCAAAAUAUUUAAAGUUAAACUAUCAUUUUUCCUUCUGAAAAAAAAGUAUUAGUAGAUAAGAAAGGAUCAGAGCGAUAAGAAUAGAGGAUUAUUCGUUACCAUUCUCUUCAAACAAUCCCAGUCAUCAACCAACACCUGACCUGGCGGUCUAACAGCUCGGAUCACGGAGGGACCACUUUGUAUUCCGAAAAGAAGCUUUCCGAUAAAUUCAAUGCUAGUGUCGAGAUGCUCUCUAUGUUUAAGCAUCUCCAUCAUCUCACUAAGCACUUCCGUUUUUUCUUCUAAUCUUUCAUCCAGCUGUUCAUACUGAUAAAAAAACAAAGAAAAUAUAAGAUAACGAACAUCUACUAGUUCAAUGACAAAAUUGUAGAACAUCGAAUUCCAAGAGUUCGCACGGAAAGAAGCAUAAAUAUCUCUAAAAUCAGUUCAUCAAAACCAAUAUAACUUAAGCCUGUGUCUAGAGGUUCCCUAUGGAUUGCAUCCUAAGAAAAAUGAACUGUUUCACGGCAACAUCCUCAUUAAUUUUAGCUAAAUGAUAUUUUGCUGAGAAAAACAUCGGUUAGAUAUGGGGAGUCGCACAAUCAAACCUGUGACUGCUCACACAGUCGAUAUAAAGUUCCGCAUUGAAAAUGGGAGAAGUAAAAUGGACGAGUCAACAUAUAUUCAAUCUCCUGUGCAUAAAAUUUAGUUUUUGCAUUAUGGACACCUUGCUUACUACUUUCCACACUAUACAAGUAAAAUUUACCGAUUGCUCACAAAGCGCUUUCCCAACCACUGAGAACAGAGGAAGAAGGCACCUCCUUACCUCAUCAAAGUUCCAAUAAAUUUUGUUAGAUGCCUUUCACUAUCUCUCCAUUCAUUUCGGGAACAUUCUUUUUAUAUUAUAAGAAUCUGAAAAAAGACCACUUUACAUAGAUGCCUUUUCAGCCAUCAAUGUAAGAGGCGGCAAACCUCCAAUUCUAAAUCUUAGUAGGUUUAUCUUUUUUGCAUUAUCAAUGCAAAGUUUACAUUCAAAGAAAAAGCAAUGGGAUGAUAAAAGUUCUAUUUGGCAUGUAAAGAUGUGCCGAUACGCACUUUAGGAGAGGAUAAUUUUAAUUUCAAAUUUUAGCAGCCGUUGGUAGGGUCCGCUAAAGAACACGAGAUUGACGAAACCAAACGCGCGAGCGCAUAUUUUAGCUUUGGCUAACAAGGCAAUGUUUGAGGUUUCAAGCCAAAAUAGUAGAAUUGAUAAUGGGCUUUAGCCUGUGAAAUAAUCUAACAGUAUUAAAAGAAGGGAAAGUAAGUUAUGCUCACCCUUUUCCACAGGAAUAGGAGGUCGGCAUCUCUCUGAUUGAUGGCCGUUACCGCACCAUGCUGAAGGCCAUUGUCAGAAACAUUGGCAUUCGCUGGAUUAAAGCCCUGAUAGAGGUACAACUUCUCCUCCUUGAAGCUCUUGUCGCCGUAUUCCAUCACAUGAGACCCCAUACCGAUCGAGGAGUUGCAAGUCCUGUCCUUAACCUGUCCACACUCAAUACUUAGCUAUAAAUCUGAAAAGGGAAAAGAAAUAUGAGCCGUAGUCGUUAUUUGCGGGCAGAGAGUUCAUCAGCGGAAUUACCGCGUCAUAUUGUUUUGCAAUGCUUUCCUUCUUCAGGUUGUGGGCCUCACUGCAAAGAACAUAUGGGAGAAUUAACACUGAUUUCUUGCACGAAACUUAGAAACAUAAGAAGGAUGGUAGUACAAGAUUCAUAAUUGGUAUAAGCCAUGUCAAUAGAACUAAAAUUGUUACUAAUAGAGCGGAUUUGUUGAACCUGAUCAAAUCUAUUAUGUGAACAUCGGUUAAGUCAAUAAGCAUUCCAACUCUAUCAAUGCCAAUACUAGUUGUUUAACGUAAUGCAGUAAGAGCAGGACACGUAAUAUAUCCCCGAUAAUUAGUCCAAUUAUUCUAGUAAAGAACAACUGGUCUGAAAAUUCCAACAAUAAGAAGAGGAGAGGGAGAAAAGAGACCUGUCCUCCAUCCAAGCAAUACUGUAUAGGUCUCCAAGGCAGGUCAGGUAUUCAGGCGGCGGAGCGGGUUGCAUUCCGGGGCAGUAUGUUCCCCAACUGCUCUCCUCGGCAUUGGACGCUGUGGUCACAUAUAUGUCAAGGUCCUCCGGCAUUAAACCUUCAAAUAUGCUCCCACUCUCGCACGCUUCCACAUAAAUAACCUGCCCAGACAAUCAUAUAUUCUUCGAUUCACCGAUCUUGUACUAUUACCAACAUCAUAGAAAAAGGAGGUGUGAAUCUCCUCACCAUCUUUUUAUAGCUAUUCGACGCAUGUUUCUUCUUCAACACCUCAAUAAAAUCAGCAGCAAUAAGAAAUGGCAAAUUGGGCAUACCUGAAACAAGUUCUAUAUAUAGUUAGCAUCACCAUAAUUGAGAGCGAAAAUAAUUAAGAAGAGAACACAACCGAGAACUCCAGGGCCGCCAUGAUCGGAGUAGUAGAUGAAGAUAUGGUCAUCCGGUUUGCUAUCGACAACCUUCCCGCUUCCACCUUGGACUGCUGUUUUAUUGCCCAAAAGAACAGCAUAGAAGUUCUCAGCAGUGAUUUGCACUCCAGUGUAAUCCUGCAAUGUAAUGUAUGUCAAAGAAGGUAAAAGGACAUCGAAGAUGAUGCUGCGGUCUUUAAGAUGAAUAAUAAAAAUAUUUAAAAUACUUGGUCAUUAGUGUUAUGGAUAGAGAAUCUGAUGAAUACAAGGUCAAUUUGCACAAAAUUCUGAUUACAUUUCAUUAAUACAACAACAGACAUGUUUAAUGCAGCUACAUAAGCAAUGCAAAAUCUUCACUUGGGUAUCCAAGAUCAAAAUCAACCGAUACGUUUAAAAUAUCUGAAAGUUAUGAAUUGUAUAAAAAUAUAUCAUAUAUUCGACAGCAUUAAGGCCUUUAUGUUUUAAAUUGUAGGUCAUUAAAACAAUUAAAGUUUAAAGUUGCCUUUGUAGAAAUCAGAACUGAAAUAAGAAAAUAAUAAUAAUAAUAAUAAUUUCACGUACUUAGAAAAAUUUGGUCCAAAAGACCAAAAUUUGGGUGUUUGGUUUGGUUAUAUAUUAAAUUCUCGACAACAGUUUCUUUAUGAAAAAUCACCAUGACAAGUUACUUCGAUUAGUGAAAGGAACUGAUCAGGCCAUGCUAAACAGGGGAAUAUCACUUAAUGGUUUGGUCCUUGGUGAUAUUCCAUGCUUUUUCAUAAAAGGUAACAUAACUUUGGUCUGCAACAAAAAAUUUCCAACAGAAAGUUAAAUGCCAUCUUUGGCUGAACAAGCACAAGACUCGAAAUAUGCCAAAAAGAGUUUAGGUUUGCGUGACCGCGUGUUCCACGAACAGACAGUUACUAUAUAAAUUUGCAACCACUCCUGGUUUUACGAAAGCGUAAAACACAAUGCUUGUAGCGCUGCAAAUUUGCCUGAUGGACCAUGUUGCCAAACUGAGCUAAAGGCUAUUUAAAUUCAUCUUCUCUUUCAAGCAACUUCUAAAUUUGCUUUGUUCGAUAACAUCUUUGGACUAUUUUCGCCAUGCACUCCAUUCUGUGUGACCUUCUUUACUAAUACAAAUCAAAAAUAUGCAUCCCAAGUAAAAAAUAGAAAGUUAAAAUGUAGUUAGCUUCUUAGCUUAUACUAAAAGCACAAAAUUGUGGAAUCUUUUGCGCUAUAUCUAGUUAGUUUCAUGAAUGCUCCAGCACAGCUUGCAUUGUGCGACAAAUUGGCUUUUGCACAAUCUCUUGUAGAAGCAAACAAUUAUAGAAACGAACCGCCUUUUUUGGCUUAAGUUUGUGACCGUCACAAUUUAAUUUUACCGUGUAGAUUAAUCACUGCAUAAUAACAUACAAAAGCAUUAAAAAAAUGACUUCCGGUUAUAAUUAUGUUGUAGAACCCAGUACUACUCCAUGAUUCAAAAUUUGUGGGCUCAAAUCCAACGUACCAAUUACUAGUUCGGCCGUCAUGGACUAUAAGACCAGGUCUAAUGAAUUCCUUAUAGUAAAAAUGUACACAAAUGGUUCAAAAUUUUAAAAGGAGAGUGAAUUGUGGACUAGUAUACCUUUGGAACCCCUGCAUACACAUCUUCGCCUUUCGGGUUAUUAAUGACAACCCCCGGCCUUGGAUUCAGCGGGCUGUUUGCGAUGUCGUCGUACAUGAACACGAUGAUGUUCUCCUCCUUCAACCCUCCAUUCUUCAAUAUCUGGUACGCAUGGCACACAUCCGCCUACACGUCAAAGCGCCGCGAAUAUUAGCAUACAUUUAAAACUUAUUCAUUCCAUCCUAAAUUAAGCCAAAAAAAAUGUUAAAAAAAGAGCUUGAUUUGGUAACUUUAAUAUGAUGAUGAAUAACUCACAAUUUACUCCUCAUUUCAAUUUGUGGGUAGGAAACAAAGCUUGAUUUGAUGAAAAGAAUCCAGCUAAUCAAUUAACACUAUAUAAAUCAUUCCGGCGAUGACCUAAAUUUGUUCUCACCAAGUUAGAGUUUUUUAGUCCAAUUUCUGCUGCCACCGUCAAAUUCUCAUUACUUAAAAAAAAAGGGGUUAAUUUCAAACAGGUCCCUGCAAGGACUAGCAAAUAUAGUGAAUUGAAAAUAUAUUCUUGUAAAGUUCAACUUUCAUAUAGUGUUCCUAUAAAAGUCUUGAUAUUUUCAAAUAUAUCCCUACUGUUAAAAUCUGUUAAAAAAAAUUAGUAACCAUAAAUAAAAUACUUAAUUCUAAUUAGUUAAUAAGGUAAAUUAACCAUUUUAUCCUCUUCAAUUAACAAUUGGACUCCAAAAGGGCCAUAUAUGUGAUGGCAAAAAUAUCAUUUUACUUAUAAAAUAAAUAGUGUUUUAACGGUAAUAAAUCAGAGGAAUAUAUUUAAAAAUAUUAGAAGUUUGCAGGAACAACAUAUGAAAGUUGAACUUUAUAGAAAUAUGUUUGUAAUUUACUAUAUUUGCAAGGACUGGUAUGAAAUUAACCCUCAAAAAAAAAAAAAGUAUGGAA